rnacentral:lncRNA from 1 species
UUGGGUUUAGCCGUCUUGGUUUCCUUUUUAAUAAGCCAUUUGUUUAUUAGUCAUCUACGGCCAGCCUGCAAAACAGCAUAAGAAAUUAUUUUUCGUAGAAGAGGAGAAAGUAAUUUUGGUUACCAAAAAUUAUGUUAUUAGCAAAACCAUUAUUUAGCUGUUAAGAUAAAAUAAAUGAAAAGGUUUAAAAUAAAAAGAACAGUUGAUGAACAUGCAUCUUAAUGUUUAAUUAGUAUUAAUUAUUAUUUUUAUUUAUUAAUUUAUAUAUUUUUUAAUUUAUUUUAUCUGAAAACAUAUUUAUAAUGUAAAACCUGGUUGGUUUUCAAGUCUAAACUAAAAGUAUUAAAGAUAGAGUCAAAUGUUAAAAUUCAAAAUAAGGUAUAAAAUUAUGAUAUAUUGAGAGCUUCAAUCGUGGGUGUUUCUGUAAUAUGUAAAGUAGUUACUGUAAUGUUAGUAUUACAAGAUAUAUAGAGCACUAAUAACUGUUGAUGGAAAUAAGUUACUGCAAUGUUAGUAUUACAACACUGUAUGAUGUAAUCUGUAUAAAAUCUAUUUUGAAUUAAAAUUUUCCAAAUACAUAAUGCAAUACACAAUAGGUAUAAAAUAAAAUCUCUCACUAGUAAUGUCAUGCUAUUCUCUCAUACGAAAUCACAAAUGAAAGAUGAAGUUGAAAGAAUCAAAGGAAUAGAGUCCAAUAUUACAAGUUGUUUCAAAAAGAAUAAAUUAAAGAGACUUAACAUUAGUCAGAGAGCUAAUCUAUGUAUUACUCCAUCUUAUAACCUAACUGUUAGCAUAAUGAAAACAAGCAAAGAUCCUUUUGAAUUAAAAUUUGUCAAAAACAUAAUCCAAUACACAACAUGUAUAAAAUGAAAUCCCCUACUAGUAAUGUCAUGUUAUUCUCUCGUAUGAAAUCAGAAGUGGAAGUAUAAGUUGAAAGGAUCAAAGGAAGAGAGUCUAAUAUCACUAGCAAUUUCAAAAAGGAUAAAUUAAAGAGAUUUAAAAUUAGUUAGAGAACUAAUCUAUGUAUUUCUGUAUCCUAUAACCUAACUGUUAGCAUACUGGAAACACGUGAAGAUCCUUUUGAAUUCAAAUUUGUCAAAAACAUAAUAAUACAAAAUUCAAAAUAAGGUAUAAAAUUAUGAUAUAUUGAGAGCUCCACUCACGGGUGUUUCUGCACUUUGUAAAGUAGUUACUGCAAUGUUAGUAUUACAAGAUACAUAGAGCACUAAUAACUGUUGCAAAUUGGAAACAACUAGUUACUGCAAUGUUAGUAUUACAACACUUUAUGAUGUAAUCCGUAUAAAUUCUAUUUUGAAUUGAAAUUUGCCAAAUACAUAAUGCAAUACACAACAUGUACAAAACAAAAUUCCCCCUAGUAACGUUAUGUUAUUCUCUCACACGAAAUCACAAGUGAAAGAAUAAGUUGAAAGGAUCAAAGGAAGAGAGUUCACUAUUACAAGUUGUUUCAAAAAGGAAAAAUUAAAGAGACUUAAAAUUAGUCAGAGAAUUAAUCUAUGUAUUUCUGCAUCUUAUAACCUAACUCUUAGUAUACUGAAUACAAGCAACGAUCCUUUUGAAUUAAAAUUUAUCGAAAACAUAAUGCAAUACACAAUAUGUAUAAAAUGAAAUCCCCCACUAGUAAUGUCAUGCUUUUCUCUCGUAUGAAAUCACAAGUGGAAGAUUAAAUUGAAAGGAUCAAAGGAAGAGAGUCCAAUAUUACAAGCUGUUUCAAAGAGGAUAAAUUAAAGAGACUUAAAAUUAUUUAGAGAACUAAUCUAUGUAUUUCUCCAUUCUAUAACCUAACUGUUAGCUUACUGGAAACAGACGAAGAUCCUUCUGAAUUCAAAUUUGUCAAAAACAUAACAAUAAAAAAUUCAAAAUAAGAUAUAAAAUUAUGAUAUAUUGAGAGCUCCACUCGCUGGUGUUUUUGCACUUUGUAAAGUAGUUACUGCAAUGUUAGUAUUACAAGAUACAUAGAGCACUAAUAACUGUUUCAAAUUGAAGACAACAAAUUACUGCAAUGUUAGUAUUACAACACUAUAUGAUGUAAUCCGUAUAAAUUCUAUUUUGAAUUGAAAUUUGCCAAAUACAUAAUGCAAUACACAACAUGUAUAAAAUAAAAUCCCCCACUAGUAACGUCAUGUUAUUCUCUUAUAUGAAAUCACAAGUGAAAGAUUAAGUUGAAAGGAUCAAAGGAAAAGAGUCUAAUAUUACAAGUUGUUUGAAAAAUGAUAAAUUAAAGAGACUUAAAAUUAGUCAGAGUACUAAUCUACGUAUUUUUGCAUCUUAUAACCUAACUUUUAGCAUACUGAAAACAAGCGAAGAUCCUUUUGAAUUAAAAUUUAUCAAAAACAUAAUACAAUACACAACAUGUAUAAGAUGAAAUCCCCCACUAGUAAUGUCAUGUUAUUCUCUCGUAUGAAAUCACAAGUGGAAGAUUAAGUUGAAAGGAUCAAAGGAAGAGAGUCCAAUAUUACAAGUUGUUUGAAAAAGGAUAAAUUAAAGAGACUUAAAAUUAGUCAGAGUACUAAUCUAUGUAUUUUUGCAUCUUAUAACCUAACUUUUAGCAUACUGAAAACAAGCGAAGAUCCUUUUGAAUAAAAAUUUAUCAAAAACAUAAUGCAAUACACAACAUGUAUAAGAUGAAAUCCCCCACUAGUAAUGUCAUGCUAUUAUCUCGUAUGAAAUCACAAGUGGAAGAUUAAGUUGAAAGGAUCAAAGGAAGAGAGUCCAAUAUUACAAGCUAUUUCAAAGAGGAUAAAUUAAAGAGAUUUAAAAUUAGUUAGAGAACUAAUCUAUGUAUUUCUGUAUAACCUAACUGUUAGCAUACUGGAAACAAGUGAAGAUACUUUUGAAUUCAAAUUUGUCAAAAUCAUAACAAUACAAAAUUCAAAAUAAGGUAUAAAAUUAUGAUAUAUUGAGAGUUGCAAUCGCGGGUGUUUCUGCACUUUGUAAAGUAGUCAGAGUACUAAUCUAUGUAUUUUUGCAUCUUAUAACCUAACUUUUAGCAUACUGAAAACAAGCGAAGAUCCUUUUGAAUAAAAAUUUAUCAAAAACAUAAUGCAAUACACAACAUGUAUAAGAUGAAAUCCCCCACUAGUAUCGUCAUGCUAUUCUCUCAUACGAAAUCACAAGUGAAAGAUUAAGUUGAAAGGAUCAAAGGAAGAGAGUACAAUAUUACAAGUUGUUUGAAAAAGGAUAAAUUAAAGAGACUUAAAAUUAGUAAGAGAACUAAUCUAUGUAUUUCUGCGUCUUAUAACCUAACUGUUAGCAUACUGAAAAUAAACGAAGAUCCUUUUGAAUUAAAAUUUGUCAAAAACAUAAUGCAAUACAUAACAUGUAUAAGAUGAAAUCCCCCACUAGUAAUGUCAUGAUAUUCUUUCGUAUGAAAUCACAAGUGGAAGAUUAAGUUGAAAGGAUCAAAGGAAGAGAGUCCAAUAUUACAAGCUGUUUCAAAGAGGAUAAAUUAAAGAGACUUAAAAUUAGUUAGAGAACUAAUCAAUGUAUUUCUGUAUAACCUAACUGUUAGCAUACUGGAAACAAGUGAAGAUCCUUUUGAAUUCAAAUUUGUCAAAAUCAUAACAAUACAAAAUUUAAUCUACAAUAUAUGUAAAAUGUAAUGCUUCCAGUAGUAACAUUCAAAACCUAAAUGAAAAACCCCCUGAUUUCACAUUUUAAUCUGUAAUAAACAGUCCCAGCCUCACUUAUGAAUAGAAAACUCUAAAUGACCCAAACUGACACUUAAUUAACCACAACCCAACUUCUAAUAAACCUAUUUGAGAAAACCUAGAUACCUUCAAUACGUGAGUUGCUCGCUUCUCUACCUUUCACAUACUUCUUUGCCUUUCACUUCCUUCUUCUCUUAAUAGGAGUUGAUUGAUUACAUUUUCUAACUACAUUUUGUUACUUGAGAACAUUAUUUAGAGUUUUGCUUACAAGUAAAGUUUCAAAUCUCGGUUUUGAAUAUGUCUUGACUCUUUUGCAAACUAAGACACUAAUAUACAACUUUAUUGAAGGGCAAGAAACUCAGUUAUGCCCUUAAUAUACCUUAACUCAUCUAUUAACAUACUUAAUGAAAUUUGUCCAAUGAGGAUCAAUUUCAACCUUCCUUCGAUUUUAAGCCAUAUCCAGAGUUAUAUAGCUCCAAUUAAAUUAAGGAUAAUUUCAUUUGAAACAAAACACAUAUACCUAAAAGUUUUGUGAAGAAAACACUUCCAAAUUAUAUCAUUCUGGGGAUCAAUUUAAACAAUCACAAUAGCAUCUAUAAUCUAUCCAAAUUUAUGCCGGUUAAACUUUUACUCAGUUUGUGGCUUAUAUAUAGAGUUAUACAACUCCAAUUAAAUCAAGUCCAACUCCAUUUGAAAGAUAAAACACAUACCUAUAAGUUUUAUGAAGAACCUUAUCAUAAAUGUUGUCAUUUUCAAGUCUUAUUCUCGUCUGGGAGUUCAAUACCAAAACUGGCCAGCCUUAUAGUAUAGGUUUUCUCUUGGUGUUUUUUUUUUCGAUUUUCUUUUCUAUUUCCUUAGUUUUGUGUCCUUCCAUUGCUACUUAACAUGUUUUUUCAAUCAAAAUUCCAUUAUCAAACAUUUAUACAAACCUUAACACCAACAUAAUUCUAAUUUCAUCAAAACAUGUAUAUAUUCAAUCAAGUUUCCUAAAUUUUACAGAAAUUAGUAACAACUUCAAAAAGAAAUAAGUAAUUAACCGUAGAUUAUAUGUUUAAACCCAACGGUCAUAAUAUAUAACUCGAAGUCUUGCAUAAUAUAUCUUAAAAUCCGAAUGAUUUAAUAGUUAAAUUAGACACGAUUUCCUUUAUACAACCGUACUAAUUUGGAAAUCAAGGUUUCUAGACCCUUACUGUUAAAGAUGAACAAUUUCUUCCUAGUGGCUUUAUUUCCAAUCUCCAUCAUUCAUACAUAAUUAAUGGAUCUUAUGAACCUCUCUUCUAAUUUUUGUUACAAUCCAAUUAUAGAUGAAUGAGAAACAUGGUGCUAAAGUUGACUACUCAGAAGCAAGAAAUCCCAACUUUGUACAAUUUCACCUUGUUAAUUGUAACUUUCAAAAGAGAUUUAAUAUUGAAAUACCCAACGGUCAGAUUGUAUAUGAGGUUGAGUAGAACGCAAUAUCCAAAAUUUGGAUCGAUCUAAUGGUGAAAGGCGGUGCAAUGAGCUUCGUAGCAGUGCUUGUCAUGCUUUUAUUUUAUCUCCAGUUUCUUCUUUUUCUUCUUCUUAAGAAUCCCUCACCUCACCUUCUAACUCUUUCACUCAAAAAAAUUAUCCAUCUUCUUCUCAAGAUCUCCUAGUGUAGACUUCUUUUCACAUAUACACUAACUCACUCAAGGCUCUUCUUUGCAAGGACAUGCAAGUGGUUUUGGUCAAGAGAAUGAAAGAGAUAAUGGCCUAGGAGGCUGUUCUGGAAAACACAUACUGGAAAAGGGAAGCAUGUGUGUCUUGUUCCCAUGUAAUUAUGUUCCCAACAUAUAAUGCCUUAAGCCUUGUUUGAUGACACCACAAUUAAUCUUCUCAUUUUUUAUGCACUAACCUGGUAUUGGCAUUUUAUAUUUGGGGCUUUCCAGAGCUCUUAUUGUUCAGAAAUGUAAACCCAAGAUAAAAACAUAUGUCAGAAGACUCCUUGUCAAAUUUUAUCCCCAUUCAAUGGUCAGAUUGAGAGAUAUUCUCAAUACCAUAAAAUUAGACAAAACAUCUAAAAGUAAAAUAUGGUUUAUUGUUUACAAUGAAGAACUAAAGAACUUGUUUACAAUGACAAAGCACGUUGACUACAACAACCUGUCCUUUUCUUUUUCUUUAACACUUGAAGUUUUCAUAAUCAGCUUAUUUAUUCAUCUGUAUUGCCUUUUAGAGGUUUUCUAACCCUCAAAUGUAACCCACCCGACCUCAAUAAACUAAAGAAGAUUGUCCUUGAAAGAAUGACAAUUUCUAAUAUUAUGCCUCAUUUCUCCAUUAUGAUACUCAAAUGUUUGGUCAGGCUCAUUCUAUUUUGGGUAUGGUGGUCGGAAUUGUUUUUAUAAAAUCAAAGUGAUUUGUCCAAUACUUUCCAAUUCCUCAAACAUCUUUUUCAAAGGCAAGGGAAGAGGUGGUAAGGUAUUCAUAUUCUAUUGUGGAUGUCCAUGUGGUUGCUUACUAUUUUGACCAGUAGUUAGUUAAUUUUGAGGGAAUAAGGCAAAUGUUGAUGUUGGGAACUAGACAUGAGGAGUGUCAUUUUUUUGCCUUAGCCUCUCCACCUAUUGUUCCACUAUUUUCUUGGUUAAUUUUGGUUAGAUCCUAGUUAAUGGACCUCAUUGUCUUCUUUCUCUUUCUUAGUGUAAUUUUACCAGCUCUUAUGACUUGCUCAAUUCUCUCAGCCAUUAUUACAAUGUUAGUGAAGUGCUAGGUUAGGGCAUCUACUAGAUGAUCAAAAUAAGGGUUUGUGAAAGUAUUAGAAAAUAGAUUGAUAAUUUUUUUCUUAAGUAAGGGUAGAUCAACUUGAGCAUUUUCUCUCCACCAUUAAGCAUACUUUUAGAGUGAUUAAUGGCUUCCUUUCUCCAACACUAAUAGACUAGAUUUGUCUGGAGUCAUGUCGAUGUUAAACUUGUAUUACUUAAUGAAAGCAUAUAUAAGAUUCUUCCAACUUUGAAUUUGUAUAUUAUCCAACCUCAUGUACCAGUUUAAUGCAGCCUCACUCAAGCUAUCUUGAAAGAAGUGCGUUAACAACUUUUUAUCAUGCACAACUUCUACCAUCUUGUUGUAAUAAAACUUGAGGUGAGUGGUAGGGCAUUAAGUUCUGUUGUACUUUAUAAACUUAGGUAUAUGAAUUUUUUUUGGUACAACCACAUAUAGGACUAGACACAUCUCGGCAGCUUGAACAUGAUCGUACAAGUCAACACCUUUGAUAACCCUUACUCUUGCUUCUAACGCUGCAAUCUUAUCAUGAUCAAUGUUUUCAAAGAAUUUUAUCUUGUGGGAUUCAUUGAUGAAUGCAUGCACAGUUUUUAAAGCCAGUGUAGAUAUUGUUAACUACACAAAUGUUGUAUCACACCAGGGUUCCUAACCCUGUCCACCCAUCCCUUUUUCAGGCUGAAUUAUUGCCCGAGUCUAAACAAAAGUCAUAAGUCAAUUCAACGAGCCUUCACCAAAGAUUUCUUUAAGCAUUUGCUUAAGCAAGUUAGUGAUGUGGGCCAUGCUAACCUUCAAGGAGUCCAACUCUUCUUAGAAGUGGGCAUCAUGAUGAACACAUUCAUCAUCUUCCAUGUUUCUUUAUCGAAGUCGGGUAUUGUAAACUAUGCAUAUUUAAGUUUUUCGGGGAUCUAUAUUUAAACUUGUAUAUGACAUUUAAAAUCCCAAAGUAUGAAUGCAUGAAUUCUUAUGGAUCCAAGUGUAUGUACAUAUACAUUAAAUAAGGAUUAACAUUUUCAAAGAGCUAAUUCAUGACUUCUUUAUUGAAUACAUGCAAAAAUUCAUAAUCUGAUGAAUCUUAAAAGAUCUUUCUCAAGUAUUUAUCUCGGUUAAAUUCCAUACACAUUGUAAAUUACAAAACAAAAAGGUGGGUCUAAACCCCUUUCAUUUGAAAAAGACAAAAUUGUUUUAUGUGUGAUAACUUCCCGACUUUGAUCCUUAGGCAAUUCCUAAGCUAGCUACAUCAUCUCAGAUCAUUGCCCGUAUUUAGAAAAAAUCAUGGUUUUAGCUUACAAAAUCCUACAGAGUUCAGGAUUAUUAAUUAGGCCUGUCUUGAUGCAAAAUGAAUUAUUAGGUGGUUCAUAUUCUAAGAGCAAGUUCUAAUCACUAUAGGAGGGGUAAGCUUACUACUUGGACUCAAAAUGGUAUAUGAUCUGCCCAGUAACCACCUCUGAUGAAGGCAGUAUGGGGAUUUACAAGAAAAUACAUGAGUAGUAUGUAAAAAAACACAUGCUAAAAUUAAAUUACAUAGACCAACAAAAUAAAUAGGAUAACAAAUAAUUAAGCAAGCAAUCAACAAAGCUCGAUCCUACCAAACAAGUCCCCAAUAGAGUUGUCAUCUUAUUGUGAUGUGCACAACAUCGAAUGACAUAACUGUCUCCUAGAUUGAAUCAUAAAACUAUGAAUUUAUGUGUCUUUUACCAAAAGGUCCUUAGUCUUGAAUUUCUUCAAUAUGACCCAUAAUUGAUCUCCAAACUUUGAUUUUCUUACAAUUUUGUUCUAAUUUCACCAAUUGAGCUUGGAAAAAGCAAAUAUGGUCCUAUAAAAUUCUAAUAUUCUCAAUUAAGCCAAAGUCAGGCUUUCAAACUUAAUUUUUCAUCAAUUAAGUCCCUAAUAAAAUUAAUUUGACUCAUUAAAAGUCUAAUUAAGUCCUUGCACUUAAUUAAUUUUUUUUUUAAUUUAACCUAAAUUAAUUCUUAAAUUUAAUUAAACCUUUAAUUGGAUCCAUGAUUAAAUCAAAUUGGUCUAAUUAAGUCUUAAAACUUAAUCUGUAUGGAAAUUCGUCCGAUAAUCAUUUGAUUUAAUCUUAAAUUUGCAUUGUCUUUUAAUCUUAAGCUCUUUGGGAUACAAUUGGGAUCCUAAUUUUGUCCAAAAUCUCAGUUUGGUUCCUCAAUGCGUUUAAAAGUUAAAACCCUUCUCAUCCUAAUCUAGCCAAGCUACAAGUGUUUUUUUUGUUGUUUUUAUUUUAUUUUUAUAAUUUUUUUUUUAAGGAAGUCCAAAAUUAGGUUAUGACAGAGGGUAUAAAUCAACAUUUAAAUAGAAACAAUUAAAUUGAAAGGGUAAAAAACUUAAAAAGAAAGAAAGAAACGAGGUUAGGUGUUGGUGGGUCAGGCCCACACCACUGGCUUGAAGAAAAAACCCAGGUGCAUGCUUGCUUUUUUCCCAUUAGGAGCGAAUGAUGCGUUGUGCGCUCCUUUUUCUUUUUAUUUUUAGAGUGGGCAAUAAAUAACUUGUAGUGGUAGGUGAUUUGCACUUACUAUUUCAAUUUUAAGUCACCUUUGAUAACCUAAAAAGUUACGGUCCAAGAUCUUGGACCCUAAAAACUUAUUUUAGGUCAUUUUUACCUGAAAUUCACCUAAAAAACACCAUAACCAUUGUUGCACGUGUGCGGCGUUGCGAUAAUCAUGCAUCCCCCCGAAGCGGGAUCUUCGUGGUGAUGAAUGGAAAGAACACAAAAUUCUAGUUUCUUAUCAGUAAAAAUAGGAUGAAGUCACCACCUAGUAUUUUGAUCACUAUGAACCUUAACUGAUCUUAGAGUUUGGAUAAGGAGACUGAUUGUGUAUAGAGAGGAUGUAUCACCCUUAGUACACCUUACUUAAGGUAAUCUGUAUUGUUUUUUUGUUUGAUAUAAAAUAAUGUAUUGUUGUAUUUUCUAACCAUUGGUAUGUUUAAAAUUUGAUAAAAGUCAUUUUCAGUAAGGAGAUCUUUAUCUUAUCAUCAUACAUGCAUAUAUGCAUACAUGCAUAUAUGCAUACAUACAUAUACAUACGCCCUAUGUAUAAAUUCGUAAUCCUUAAUAUUCAAACAAACAAAAUAAUGUUUCUGGUAUUUUUUCAAAAUGUACGUCAUGUUCUCAUAAAUUUCAUAAACUAGUUAUUAAAUCUAAAAAUGUAUGUAAAGAUAUCAACAAAAUUAUUUUUCUUGAGUUUUUAUAUUUAAGGAUGCUAAAUCAUGCUAAGUAUUUUAUUAUUAUUAUUUAUGCAAAUAUAGUUUUUAUAUUUAAGGAUGCUAAAUCAUGCUAAGUAUUUUAUUGUUAUUAUUUUUAUUUUUUUGAAAGACUUAGUCAUAUGCACAUACAAACAUAUAUUUUUUUGUAUUUUUUUCAAAACAAAAGAUUUUUAUUUUUUAUAUAUAUUUUUCUCAAAAUUUGAAGAAAAGUAAGAAUAUUUAAUAUCGGGUCUGUAUCUUAUAAUAUAAGUUUACAACUCAAAUUAAAUUAAAUAAUUGAAAAAACAUACAAGGGACCCAUAAAUAAAUUUUAAAUGGUCUUGAUUUUUUUAGAUUUUUUUUUGAAAAUUAUUUAAAGGUUUGUUUGAUAAAAUCACCAAAACUUCAGCAAAAAAAUUUGUUAAAAAUUCAUUAUGAUAUGUUGCCAAACACGUCCUAAAAUAAAAAGAAAAAUUGCAUUUUUUCGUUGUAAAAUUUUAGUUUAUACGAACACAGCCUUGAGCCUUUGAAAGGCACAGCUGAAUCACAUGAAUUGGGAUUCAUAACCCUGGCCCACGAACCACUGCCAUCCUCCUCCUUUUAUAUAUAUGUGUGUGUGUGUGUGUGUAGUCUCUCCUAAAUUAAACAAAAGCCUUAUCUAUGGAAAAAAUAAUAAUAAUAAUAACCCAUAAUAAUUAAAGCAAAGCCUGACCCCUAAAAAAAAUAAAUGCUCUCUCUUUGCUCUUGAAAUAUCAAAACGACUGAAUUAAUGAAUCCAUACAUAGCUCAUGAACAUUUAGCAAACAAAUCACAGCAAAUUAAUUUAGAGUUUUUAAAGAGCACAAGAGUUAUACCUAUGUCACCAGGGGUAGCUUGGUGUGUCCAUACUUGAACAAACACUGACCCAGUCUCUUUUUCCUUUUCUUCUCCUUCUGUUUCUCCUGGAUUCCUUCACUUCUGCUGCUGUGAUUGAGAAGAAAAGCCUCUGCUGUUUUUUUUGUUGAAUCUCAUGUUGUUGCUCACAAUGCUCCUGCUACUGCUUGCUCACGGUGUAGAGAAGAUGACGCUGCUGGAAGGAUAAGCUUCCACAACUGCUAUCAGGAGAAGCUGAGAUAAAGGCUGACGGUGCUGCUGCUAGAAAGUAAGUGCUGGACUGCCGGUGGAGAGUAAGUACUAGACUGUUAAGGAGAACAGUUGCUUACAGGGGUUGUGCGGAUCUAUGGAGGAUAGUCAUUGUUGCUGGAUGGAGAAGAAACCUUGGACAAUCAGCUGGAGGCUCACGGUGCUUUAAUGGAGAAAAGGAAGUCACGGUUCAGAUGGAGAGGUCCGCUGUGGUGCUGAGGAGUGCAUGGUUGGAUUUGCUUGAGAAGGAGGAAGCUGCUGGCGGUAAAGAUCUUCCAGUUCCACCGAUACUCACGGUGCAGAAAUGCUACUAUGAAAUGGCGUGACUGUGGAAGAAUUGCUGCCGCUAUUCUCUAUGGAGCCUUGCUGAUGAAAAACUGAUUUUCUAGCUUUCCUUUUUGUUGUAAGGCUCUCCUUCAUUAAUUCCCUUUCCCCUUGCCGAGAUGCUUGAGUUUUUUUAUGGGGUUUUUAUGGGAGAAAUGAUAAGGUUCUCGAGGGUGCAAGCUGGGUGAAUCUCUUCCCUUGAUCUUGGGAAGAGAUCUGGGCUGUAGGUAAAAGGUCAAGGUGGUUAUCUUUCUGGUUCUGCAGCUAGCAUGGUGGUUACUCACAUCUUCUAUAAAUUUCAGCAGUUCAGGGUGUGAGUUUGUUGUGAUUUUUUCUUGAAUCUUGAAGGCAAAGAAAGAGGAUCUGGCAGUUAGAAUUGUACAGGGAUAUCAUGGUCAUUAAUAUGAAGGUUACGAGGAGACUAGAAGAGGACAAUUCAGGCAUGUUUUUUUAUGAGGUGUGAUUGUGUUGAGUUAUCGUGGUAUUUAAUUAUUUUUUUUCGAAGAUAAAAUAAUGAUUUUGAUGAUUUAACUAUUGUUAAGUGGAAUCAUUACUAUAUUUUAGAAAACUUUUGGGGGUAUUUGGAUAAGAGGAUGAUGAUCAGUGUGAAAUAUGGCCACUCGAAUAACUUUUUUAGGUUAAAAUUAAAAAAAAAUUAAAUAGUAACCGAACAAUGCAUUAUUUAUAAUAUAUUUUUUUUUGUAAAUAAGUGACCUGUUGUCUAUAUAACACUUUUUAAUCUAGUCCCUACUCUUUUAAUUUGUUUAAUUAAGCCUUUAAUUUAAUCAAAUCUUUGAGAAUUUAUUCAAUUUCAUCCUUGUAAUGUUUCAAUUAGAUCCCUUGAAUUUAGCAUCCUUUUCAAUUUAGUCAUUGAUUUUUAGAUUAUACAAUUUGACCCCUAUCAACCAUCAAACUUUCAAAUGUCUUUCAAUUGAGCCAUUGAUUGCACUAAUUUAGCAUUUCAAAGUCUCAAUUAUGUCUCUAAUCUUUCAAUAUUUGCAAAUUAAUUUGAAUUAGAUCUCCAAACUUGAUUUAUCUUUAAUUAAAUCCUUGAUUGGAUCCAAAAACCCAUUACAAGUUUAAUUAAAAUUUUAAACUUAAUUAAUUCUUUUAAUUUUAACUAGAUUGACUUUCAAACUCAUUUUUUCUUCAUUAAAGUCCCUAAUUAAACCAAUUAAACUCAUUAAAAGUUUAAUUAAGUCUUUAAAAUUAAUUAAUUCUUUUAAUUUUGAUCAAGUUUGAUUUCAACUACGAUUUUCUAAAAGUUGAUACCAAAAUAAAUCACACAGAAAUUUCAUCCAAAAGUUGAGGAUAACAACAACCAAACAAAACAAAAAAAUUAAAAAUAAAAUUAGGAUUACAAAGAGAAUAUUCUUGUUAUUUUUAUGAUAAAAUAUUUUAUGCGAUCAUUUUUUGUGAUUUUUAUAAUGAAAAAAAUAUAAUUUAUUUAUGAACCUCAUUACAAAUUUUAUGAAAUCUAUAACAACAUCUAGUGAUGUUUAACUACAAAAAAAAGAAAGAGAAAAAUGUUUUAUUGGUUUGUUUUAUCAAUAAAGCCUUGAAAAAUCUAUUUGUAUAAAUUUUAUAAUAUCAAUCUAUUUAUUAUUUUAUAAUAAAUCGAUUCUCUCUCGAAUCAAAUUCGAAAGAUAUAAGAAAGGAAGUUUGCAUGAAUAAAAAAGUAGAGGGACAACAUUGAAAUUGUAGAGUAGACAGCGGGGCGAGAGAGACUUGUAUUUUGUAAAGUUUGCUGUUAGAAGCUGACGUUAGGGAUUGAACGAGGAUAACGCUUGGGGACGUGUGAAUAAGGAAGGCAUGGCAUGAUAAUGACAGUUGAAGGAAGGAACCCAACCCAGCCCAAAGCUACCAAUCCGACCCUAUAAAAACUCUUUUUACUUACACGUACGUAGGUGCAAAGCACUUUGUGGAUUCCUAGAUCAUCCUUCUUCCUCUUCAAUGGCAACAAGCAAGAGACCUUUGCAGCGUUUAUUGAGCAGAGUUUGCAGGGAGGCUCGGAGGACUUACGGGGUUCUCCCUCAAGGACAUGGACACGACCCUUCUUUUUCUCAACAUCUCAUCAACUUGGAGUAUGAAUACAGUGCCCACAAGUAACACCUCUCUCUCUCUCUCUCUGAUCCUUUAUAUUUCUACCUGUCCAAUUUGGUGUUUUCUUUCCUUAAUCAUCCCUUUCUAUCCACUCUUUUUGGCUUCUGGGGUUUCAGUAAAGUAAUUGCUUACCUGUUCUAUUGCUUUAUGUAAACAAAUGUUUGGACUCUGCCCAUUAUUGAGGUGGUAUAUCAUCAUCACACGCUUGCUUGUUGCAUGUUCUCCUCCUGUGUAAUUAAAGUUUCGGGCUAUAGCUGUAAUUUAAUACCUUGUUUAUCUGCUGAUCUAAGAAGAUAUAUAUGUCUUUUACUUGAUUAAAUUAAAUAAUUUGAUUCUGUUGGAUGGGACUCCUUUUUGGAUACUUCUAUUUUUCCUCUGCUGUUGAUAUUACAUUUUUUUAGCCUUUCUUGUUCAUUAACUUGCUUUUCUGGAUCAAUUUGUAGUUACCAUCCAGUUCCAAUCGUAUUCUCUAAAGCGAAGGGAUCCUGUAUAUGGGACCCUGAGGGCAACAAAUACCUGGAUUUUCUCUCUGCAUAUUCAGCAGUUAAUCAGGUAAUAGAUAUGGAUAAUAGAACCCAUGUGCCCCUCCUUACAUUCUCAAUUAUUAGAUUUUAGUUUGGUUGAAAAUGGCUACUGGUCGGAGGAAGCAAGUGAUUGCAACAUGGGAAGUAGUGAACUAAUUUGCAAGGCUAUUGAUGACCAGUAGGCAACAUGGGAACUCACUAUCACGUUUGAUUAUAGGCUUUUAUGAACUUCCAUACAAGCUCCUAGUCUUUCUAAUUUUCUCAUUUUUUUACUGAUAUUCUAGAAAUGUGCAUAUCUAGUUAAGAAUUUCACUUGAUGAUAAAACUAUCAUAUAUAUCAUCUUAACCCUUAAAAAUCCUGCUCUUGCAUUGGAGAAUUUCAGAAAGUUAGUCUUAUUUCUUAGGAUUUUCUAGGCUCAUCUAGACUUGUCAAGGAAAUGUGCAUGCUGGAGCGUAAAUCUUAAACACAUUGAAGACUGUUUUGGAAUGAGAAAGGGUUUGAGGUAGCAUCAUGCUAGUAAAGUCUAUUAUGUGUUUUAAGAUGGACAGCUAUAGAACUUUAUGACAAGAAUAAAACUUUUACUAGUUCAAAUGACUACAAAUAACUUGUGUACUAAUUCAUUUAUGUAAUCUAGAUGGCAAACAUUUCAAAGUUCUACAGAUAAUAAUGACAUAUUAUAUGAGAGAUGGUAUAUGAAGUCUAUCAAAUCCUCUUGUACUUUAGAAUUUUCUUGAAGGGUGUACUAAUAGGCUUAAUUCAGAAGAUGAAGGAAUAUUUAUAUCAAAAGACAUACACAAAGAAAAAAAAGAAAUACAGAGUACAAGAUCUUUGGCUGUAAUUACUUAUCAAAUCUAUGACCGAUAAUUGUAUCUUUUUCAUUGAUAUUUAUGAAAAUUAUCAAUUGACCACUACAUCAAAAGCUUAAGUUUUUCAAAGAAGGUUGAAGAUUGAUUUUUAUAUCUUUAAUACCUUCCCUUCAAUGAAACUGAAUUGGACUUAAGGUGCGGGUUAAGCACAAGUAUGCCACUGUCUUGUGCUAAAAUCAAUUUGUAAAUAGGUAGGAUUUCCUGUAGUCACACUCCUUAUUGCUAGGUCAAUGAGUCUGAUAUCAUGUUAACUCACUACUUAUAGCGUGAACUGUUAGGUGAAGGCUUAAGUAGUUCUUUAUGCAGUCAUUAGAAAAGAAGUCAGUUUUUAUAUCUUUAGCAGCAAUAAGAUCCCUAUUUAAGAAAUGGUAAAAAAGUGAAGUAGAAGGAAGAAAAUUUUUCAAUGCAAUAUGAUUACCUUUAUUUUACAUGAGCACAAAAUGCAGAUCACCUGAAGAUCUUAUCCUCUAUAAACCAUUGUUCUCAUACUCAUUCUGUCAGGGGGCAGUGUCCUUGCACUUUUUGAGAAUUAUGUUUGAGAUGAACUGUAAAUGCAAUUUCAUUGCUUCCUUCUAUAGGGACAUUGUCAUCCAAGGAUCAUGAAAGCAUUACAGGAACAAGCAGAAAAGCUCACUCUCAGCUCUAGAGCUUUCUAUAAUGAUAGAUUUCCAGUAUUUGCAGAGCACCUAACAAACAUGUUUGGCUAUGAUAUGGUGCUACCAAUGAACACUGGUGCUGAGGGUGUGGAAACAGCCUUGAAGUUGGCAAGGAAAUGGGGAUAUGAAAAGAAAAAAAUCCCCAUUGAUGAGGCAAGUAGUUCUAAGCAGCUUUCAACUAUUAUUCUUGCUAUGGAGAUUGCAUAAGAGUUUUUCUUUGCCUUUACUCAUCAUUCCAAAUGAGACUGUUGUUGAUUUUCAUUUAUGCAAGUUGAUCAUGACUUUUAUUUAUAUACAAAAUGGAUAUCACAAUGGAUGAUGAGUAUAUAUAACCUAAUUCAUGAAGGCUAUAAUUAUGACAAGGAAGAACUCUGGCUGUUGAAUAUUUUAUUUAAUUAUAUAUAGUUACAAGAGGUUACAAUAAAAGAAGAUAAUAUUUUCUGAAUAGAAUCAAAUCUGUGCAAUAUUAAGGGUGAUAUUGCUAUUUCCCAUUUAUACUAUAGGCAUCGCAGUCCUCCUUGUUUUGAGGCCAUGACUUGGUAUCUGCAGAGUUGAAUUUCCUGUUUUAUGUGUUUGAGAUUCUCUCAAGAGGUUGUAAGUAGCUUCUCUUUUACCAACUUGAAAUGGAUGUUUUAUUGGUCUUCAAUAAGGAUUAUGAAAACAUAUCAGACUUUUGUCAUCUUUCGUUCACUCUAUUCUGUGUGGUAAAGUUAUCCUUGUUCCUACCAAGUCUGGUUAUUGUAAAUAAAUGUUAGCAAAUUGAUUUACCUUGACUUCGUGAAGAGAGUUUUUUCAACCCAAUUGAUUAGUAUUUGUACAAGUUUGAUGAUCCAUUUAGGCUCUACCAAUACCUCAUUUGUUGGCCACUGUUUUUGCUGUAGAAAUUAUCACCUGAUACUUCUUAAUUGCAAUAAGAGGUUUGAUAUUAUAGACAUUUAACUGAUGAAGAUUUGAUUAUAAAAUCUCUUUACCUGUUUUAAACACCAAUGUAGAAAUAUACAUCUCUAAUCUCGUCUUCCUUCAAGGGACCAACUGAGAUUUUCCUUUCACAAGUGUCCUUUGCUGAAAGUGUGCAACAUGCAGGCCAUAAUCAUCUCUUGUUGUGGCUGCUUUCAUGGCCGUACAUUGGCUGCCAUCUCAAUGAGCUGUGACAAUGAGGCUACUCGAGGGUUUGGGCCAUUGCUUUCUGGCCAUCUUAAAGUUGAUUUUGGUGAUGUAGUUUCACUGGAGAAAAGUUUUAGAGGUUUGAAUGGACCAAAAGUUGUUUUCCUUGUUUUAUUUGGAUCAAAAUAAUCAUUGCAUGCAUUAUUACAUAAAUUGUUCACAAGUUAUAAUCUGUAAUUGUUGCUUUAGCUCUACCAUUUGAGAUGAGAAUUUUAAAACCAACUUAUAACUAAUCUCUGGUAUGUGUUGCAGAACAAGGAGAUCGGAUAGCUGGAUUUCUUUUUGAACCAAUUCAAGGCGAGGCUGGGGUAUGUUUCCUCAGAAAUUCAUUCGAUAAAUUGAUGUGACACACACACACACAUGUAUAUGUAUUGUUUGGGGCUACAUGUGGGGUUUCUGUGGGGCUUUUGUCCACCACAACUAGUCCUUCACUUCUUGGGCCUGGUGAUGUCUGAACAUGCCAGGCCUCAUUCGAUCAUUGACCUUGGGGAUGAUCAACGUUAUAAACCUUUGUAAAGUUUUCCAUCCCAGAUAGCAAGCCCAAGUUUGUUACCUCUAGGUUCCCUUCCCACUGAACUUGUGGUGGUUCUCUUGUUAAUUAUUUGGCAAUCGCUUGGCUUGCCCUAAUUAUUGUCAGACAACUCUACUAAAUAAAUUUGGAUUGUCUAGACUUUAGAAAGAUUUAUUUUCUAGAUUUCAAACUUUAGAUGCAAGAACAAAGCUUAAUAGUCAAUUUGUUCAAUGACUCUCAUUAGCUGACAUAGAGUGUUUAUGUCGAAUAGCACUUCUGAUACGAUUCAUGCAAUGGUUGGACAAUCAGAUUCAGUUUUGAGCUUAUUUCUUCUAAUACAUGGUUUUACAUUAACAAACAUAAUUUUUUAUCCGACCGUUGGACCAGAAUUAAAUUUUACCAGAAAUUUUCAGAGGUCUUAUUUUAUAUAAGAUUAAAUUUCAGGUUAAUCAGAUAUCAAGAAGGUCCUGUGAUAAAGUCCAGAAGCUACUGUGCAAGAAUUGUAUUAGUUUCUUAGUUGAUUUAGGAUUUUUUAUUUUAUUUUAUUUAGAACUAUUUUAUUAUUUUUUCAGCAUGCGAUCCCCAUGGAUAUAAGAAUCUAAAACCCAUAAUCAAAUCAAUCAAUCACAAAAAAGCUAAAUUCAGGCUUGUGAUUUAGCUUGACACAACGAUAACUUGUAUCGAGGUACCAAGACUAUAAGUAACCAACCCCCAUCCAACGUCUAUUAUCAAGACACGAACGAGAAGUAAAGAAGACGCCAUGAAACUUGGUUAAUUCUUUGAUAAGUUAUUAAGUAAUAAAGAUCAUGAAUUAUCAAUACAAAACAACGAAUAUGAAAAUGUGAAUACCAAUAAGAAUUCGUGCGAAAUAUGGACGAUAAAAAAACACAAUAAAAGACACCAAAAAUUAAGAAACUAAUGGAAUAAGAUUUAAACGACUCAAAAUAACAAAAGCACUUUCAAUUACUAUCAAGCUAAAUUCAAAAACCCACAAUUAAAUGAAUCCUUUUCAAGAAAGCUAAAUUCACACUUGUGAUUAAGUUUGACACAAUGAUAACCUGUACCGAGACACCAAAACUAUAGAAACUGACACCAAAAUUAUAGAAACUGAACCUCCACUUAACAUCUAUAAAAAGACGUGAACGAGAAGUAUUGAAAACGUCAUGAAACUUGGUUAAUUCUUUAACAAGUCAAAGUAGUUCCAUGAGGAACCAAGAGUAAGAGCAAAUUCACACAUAAGUUUUAUUUCUGAAUAAUCAAUCCAUCUCUUGUUAAUUUUUUUACGUGCUAAAUAGCUUUAUUUAUACUAUAUAAAAACCUCCUAAACAAUGUUGAAAAAACAAUAAAAGGCCUUUCUGAUAUCCGAUUGACCUGGAAUUUUAACCCAAUACAAAACAAGACCUCUGAAAAAUUCUAGUAAAUUUCCAACCUGAACUAACGGUUGGAUUGAAAAUUAUGCAUGUUAGCGUAAAACUGUGUAUUAUAUAAAAUAAACCUAAUCUGUGUGUAAGUAGAAAAAUAAGUUGAAUCCGCAAGUCAUGUAAGAAAUAAAGCCCAAAUAUCUUGAAUUAAACCAUUGAAUUCCUUUUUAACCUUCUUAACUUUUCAUCUUGUAAUAGGUUCAAUUGACACAUGUAAUAGAUCUUUUGAUUUAGUUUGGAUCACAUCAUCCCCACUCUCCUAAAAAAGAUUUAACCUCGAAUCAUCAUCUUACUUUGAUGUUCACUCGCUUUUGAAAGAUAUAUUAACCUGAUUUUGUGAUUUUGAUCCCUUUUUUCUUUUUUUUUAAUUGUAAACAAUCAACUCACAAAUAAUCUACUUUUUUUUUUAACUUUUGCCACAACUAAGUGUUUAGAUGACGACAACGAUAAAAUAAUGCAAAAACUAAAAAAAAUAAAAAGAUAUAACCUGAUUUAAAACCCAACUCUGAUUUCAACUGAUACAACCUUGUGGAUAUAAAGAUUUAGAAAUCCACAGUCAAAUCAACUCUUUCCAAAAAAGCUAAGUGAAGUUCGGAAUUGAGCUUAACACAACGAUAACUUGUAUUAAGGCACCAAGAUUACAAGUAACUGAAUCUCCGCCCAACACUUAUACAGAGAUGAAGAAGAAGUAUAGAAGACGUCACGAAGCUUGAUCAAUUUUUUGAUUUGUUGGAGUAGUUUAAUGAAGAACCAAAAAAUAUGAGCAAAACCUCACUACAAUAAUAAUUGCUGAAAUCAAAGUCUAUAAAAAAAAUAAAAAUAAAUACAAGCUUAAUACUCUAUUAUGUGAUUUUAGCAAUUAUUAUUUUAUGAAUGAAAACUUUCUUAAUUUAGUUCUUUAUUGAACUACUCUGACUCCACAAAACUUUUAUAUUUCUCGUUCGCGAUUCUCUAUAAUCGUUGGAUGGGAGUUCAAUCACUUAUAGUUUUGGUAUUUUGGUACAGGUUGUUGUGUCAAACUCAAUUAUAAGUCUGAAUUUAGCUUUCCUGGGAAAGAGUUGAUUUGACUGUGGGUUUCUGGAACUUUAUAUCCACAAAGUUUGCAUCAAUUGAUAUUAGAGUAAAGUUCUAAAAUCAAGUUAUAUUCUUUUAUUAUGACUUUUGGCAUAAUAUAAAAAAAGUUAAUUAUUUGCGAUCUGGUUGUUUACAAUAUUUUUUUUAAAAAAAAAGGAAGAAAAAGACUAUCAAAAUCAUAAAAUCAAGUUAAUAUGUCUUUCAAAAGUGUUUUAACAUUCAAGCAAGGUGAUGAUUAGAGGUCAAAUCUUUUUGAAGAGCUAAUGAUACAAUCCAUUCAAGAGGGUGACAAUCAGAUUUGGUUUUGGAAUUAUUUCUUCAAAUGCAUAUUUUUACACUAAUAAGCAUAAUUUUCGAUUCAACUGUUGGAUUAGACUAAAAUUUUAUCAGAAGUUUCAGAGGUCUUGUUUUAUAUAAAGUUAAAAUUUCAGGUCAAUUGGAUAUUGGGAAGACCUUGCGAUAAGGUCUAGAAGCUACUGUGUGAGAAUUGUAUUAGCUUCCUUGUUGAUUUAUGAUUUUUUUUUCUAUUUUUUUCAGAACUUUUUUAUUAUUUUUCCAGCAUUGUUAAUGACAUUUUACCUAGUAUAAAUAGGGUUAGCUUGUAUAUAGGUUUUAAAAAAAUUAAUAAGAGAUAGAUUGAUUAUUUAGAAAUAAAACUUGUGUGUGCCAAUUUGUUCUUACUCUUGGUUUCUUAUGGAACAACUCUAACUUAUCGAAGAAUUAGUCAAGCUUCGUGGCGUCUUCAUUCGCAUCAUCUUCUAUACUUUUCGUUCGCGUCUCGAUUGUAGGCGUUGGGUAGGGGUUGAUUACUUAUAGUCUUAGUGUCUUGGUAUAGGUUAUUAUUGUGUCAAGUUCAAUCACAAGCCUAGAUUUAACUUUCUCGGGAAGAGUUGAUUUGACUGUGGGUUUCUAGAUCUGUGUAUUCAUGGGGUUCGUAUCAAAUAUGUUCCCUUUUUUUUCAUAUAUGAACUUAGAACUAAGCGAGAAAGGAUGCUGGCGAAAUCAUGUUUAAUAGGAUUGAAUUUAUCUACUCCUCUACUUAUAUUGAAUACCUUCCUGUUCUGUCGAGUCUAAUGCAGGUAUUUCAGACAUUUGGAUUUGUCAUUGAACACAGAAAAUGAAGCUACUCAGCUUAUUGCUGAACUAGAUUUUUUGAAUCUGAAAAAAGUAGCUAACCUAUCCCCUAUCUGUUUUCUUGAAAAUUGUCUUAGUUAAAUAGCUAAUUUUCUAUCAUGUCUCCAAUUUACCUGGUCAUUUUACAUAAAAUGUCUGACAAAUGCCCAUUUGUAUUCAAGCCCACUUGUUUUUUGACAAAGGCUGAAAGUUUUUCUUCCCCAAUUGGGGGUGAGUGAUUCGUGUGAGUGAUUCGUCCUUCCUUUUGUUAUUUCUGUCUCCUCAUUUUAUUGAGACUGUUAUAUUGUUAUAUUUGGUUACUAUUCUUUAUGGUUGGCAGGUUAUAAUUCCUCCAGAUGGUUACUUAAAAUCUGUCAGAGAUCUUUGCUCAAAAUACAAUGUUCUGAUGAUUGCUGAUGAAAUUCAAACUGGCUUAGCACGAACAGGAAAAAUGCUGGCUUGUGAUUGGGAACAAGUUCGUCCUGAUGUAGUAGUAAGGCCCCUUUUCUUAUUUUUGACGGGAUCUUCCAACUAUUUGAUGUGAAUAUGUCAGUGGCACAUUUCUGUAUUGAAAAGCAUGAUUGUCUUUGUUAAUAGGAGUAAUGAAUUUCCAAAUUACUUCUGAUUUUUGAACAAUCCCUCCGCAUGUUCUUUUAACAAUUCUUGACGGUGUAGUUUGGCCUUAAAAUAGCCACACUUCAGUGUGUGAGCUUAUUUCAUCUUUCUGCUUCCAGUGAAAAUUUGUAAACCGUAAGGAGUUCCUGUUUUAAUAUUUGUUUUCUAUACUGUUCUUUGUUUGGGGAGAAUGUCUAAAUCUUCUCAUUAUAAUUCAGUAAUUUCUCUGUAAUGAAAUCAUCUACAUUUAUCUUAAAAAAACUGUAGGAGUUGCAUGCAAGACAAUUGUUGCAAUACUGUGAUAAUUUGGUUUUCGAAUCAAUAAAAUCUGCUUGGAAUCAAGAAAGUUGCUGUGAAUUCUUAUUGGGUAGUUUAAAAAAAGUGGCUGAUACUUCAAACAAGGCAUUCAAAUUCUUGCUUGUCCUUUUAAUACCUGGCCAUGUUUUCACUUUUUUCUUCUGAUUAUAAAAUGAAACAUGACACCCAAAUUAUAGCUAUACUGUUGAACUAACUUCUUAGAACUAGAACUAACGUCAGCUUAUACCAUUCAUGUUGGGUCUCCAUAUUUUCUUUCCCAUGUUUUAAAUGAUUUCUUUGAUGUCCGAUAUGAAUAGAGAUUUAAAUGCUGCAAAUAAGCAAGUUGGUCAAAACCUUCCCAAUUUCAACCUGCAAGAGUUAAUUAAUAUCCAAAGUUAGAUUGUUGAUAAUAACAUUUUAUAAGUGGAGCAAUACAGCUAUCAGACCUUGCUUGAUCGUUGACCUACUUGUCUAACCUUUCUUCAUGCAUCUUGACGAAAAUUUUCUCCAGACUAUUGUUGACUGAUAAUGAAUGCUUAUUGGUUGUAGUGACUCAACCAAAUUAUAUGCUUCUCUAAUGUGCCUCCAUACAUGCUUCUGUGGUUGUUCUGCUCAGAUUCUAGGAAAGGCAUUGGGUGGUGGAGUGAUACCUGUAAGUGCUGUGCUUGCAGAUAAAGAUGUAAUGCUUUGCAUUCGACCAGGAGAACAUGGAAGGUUUGCGACUAUAAUUGUUUACUUCUUUUGUUGUUUGUCUUCUGACAGUGCUAAUUUGCCAAUAGAAAAUACUGCAUACUAUAUCUGGUGCCAGCAUUAUUCAUCAAUUAUACAUCUUGAUUGGGAAAAUUUCACGGAGACAUUUAGUGUCAACUUGAGUUUAUUUUGGUCAAAAUACUGUUGCAAAGAUGUGCAACUUUAAUUUUUUUUUAAGAAAAUAAUUUAAAGAAAAAAAGAAUGAACAAGAUGAAAAAACAGUACUUUUCUAGGAACUUUUCCUGUAGAAUGUAUUUUUGCAAAGGAUUGUCAUAGUGUUAGCAAGUCAGCUUAGUUCAAUUUGAUAUUGUAUAAUGCACGAACUAAAACAUAGCCAAACAAGUUGGAGCUGAGUCCUGAUAUGAAUGGAUAUGAACCAGCAAUUAUUAGCUGAUCUAAAGUACCUUACACAAAGUCGUUCCAAAUCUGAUGCGGGAAAAAAAGAGAUUUAAAAUGCAAUAAGAAAGAAAAGAAGAAGCUAAGAAGAAGCCAAAGAAAAAAAGAAAAAACUGAAGAAGAGAAGAAUGAGCAUUGGAAAAGUAUUCAACUCUGCAAUUUUUAUUUAAUUUUUCAAAAACUGUCUAAAGAAAAAUAGGAUAUAAAUACUAAAACCCUAACUAGAACAAACAAUUAGGCUUAUAGCCCAUUAAAUAAAAUACCCAAUAAUAAUUAAAUCAAGUCCAACAAAUAAAACAUAAUUAAUAAACCUUAACUAAAAGUUCAAAUAAAUUAAACUAAAACUUAAGUUAAAGCUCAAUCUCUCAAUGGUUUGGACAACCCUCCAUCAUAUAUGAUCAUACGAGUGUAUAAACAAUGUUUCGGGUCUAGUGUCCCUACCAACUCUCUUGGGGUUGGAGAAACUAAACCCCGUAGUUCAAGGCGACUCUAAUAAUACUUCCAUGAACAACACUAUAUGACUGAGGGUUUUGAGUGGAACAAACACUAUUUGAAACCUAUGACGUGCUGAAUGUCAAACAUGAAGGGGUGAGGAGCAUGUUGCUCUAAACCUUUAACGUGCUGGACGUCAAGCAUGAUAGGUGGGGAAUCUAGUUUAAGAGAACUAAUAUCAUGAGACUCUUCUAAGAUCAUAUUUACCUCUUCGGACAAUUCCACUAAAAAGUUUUCUAAAACUUCUUCCUCAAGCACUAAAGUAAAUUAUUAUAUUCUUUAUUAAUCUCAUUUUCAGAUUCAUUUGAACUUAUAGUGUUAAGUCCCUCUUCUUGCACAUACUUUUCAUCUAGGUCACUAAAGUCAUCAAGAUUGAGUUUAUUUAUAUGCACAUAAUAGUUUUUCAUUUCACCUAUAUCCUUAUGUUCUUAGAUGACUAAGGGUUUAGAGAUGCAGUUGAAGAAGAUAUGAUUGAAACCUUAACAUUUAGCGCACUAAACCUUUGAACUCAACAAAGACAUUUCAUUAACGAUUUUUUUUUUCCGUUAUCUUCUUUAUAAUUUUAGGCACUACUAGGAUUAGGUCUACAUGAUGGAGCACCACCUAACAAAGAACUAUCAUUUCUAAAUUGAGAUCUAAAAGGGUACUAUGAGGGUCUUGACAUCUCAUCCAUUGCUAGAUCCAUCCACUAAAUAAAAUACCCAAUAAUAAUUAAAUCAAGUUCAACAAAUAAAGUCUAAUCAAUAAAUCUCAACUAAAAGUUCAAAUAGAUUAAACCAAAACAUAAGCUACAACUCAGUCUCUCAAUGGUUUAGAUUACUAUCUAUUGUCUAUGAUCAUACUUGUAUGUAAACAAUGUUUCGGAUUUGAUGUCCCCACCAAACCAAAAGCCUUCUUUAUGUUGAAUGUUGAUUGGUUAGUCCUAGUCCUAGUUUUCUGCUUCCACGGAUGGGGAUGGAUAGUUCACAUCAGUUGUGCAACUGGUUUGAGGCCUAACAAAAUAAUCAAAUUGAAUCUUCUAGUUGAGAGCCUAAUAAUUUGAAUCAGCAUAAUAACAUUGAGAAUGCACUAUAGUUGGUGACCUUAAAGUGUUAAAAAGUGUCAAAUAUAAUCAACUAGUGAGAGGAGUUAUGACCUUAGAUUAUUUCUUUGUGAAUUUGAUGCCAGAAAAGAACAGCUUUUCUCCUUGUUAUCUUGUCUUUUAAGAUAGGUUAAGCAUUUGUUUUCGCAUUUUGAAUUGAUUAUAUUAAAUUAUAUACUCUUACCACAUCAUCAUUUCUUUUUAAGUAGUCUUCAUUUCUUUCUGUUACACGUGUUGUGUUUCUUUGGCAUUUGUCUUAAGAGAACUCUUCAUUGUUUUAUUUGUGAUUAUUCCCAGCACAUUUGGGGGAAAUCCUUUAGCCAGUGCAGUUGCCAUUGCUUCACUAGAUGUGAUCAAAGAAGAAGGGCUUGCUGAGAGGUAUCAUGUGUUAACCACAUUAAAUUAAACUUCUGUGACUAAAUUUUGAUUGCAAUCUCAGUUGUCUGAGAAGUUGGAGAGUUUUUAGGUGUGGGUAUCUGAGUGAACUACUUUGAAAACAUUUCCAAACAAUAGUCGGUUCUUUUUAACUGAAUUCCAUUAGAACAUCUUCCCGAAACAGCAUUCUAUGACAAAAUUGUGUGCUUAAACACGAGGAAGCUUAUUUUGGAACUUUUUGAACAUGAGUUAUUUUGGAAAUAUAUGCAAACAAUUUGUCAGUGUUUUGAAAAAAAUUCUCUUAGAACCUCAUUUAGAAACAAAAUUCUAUGAAAAAUUCAUGUUUUAUUUACAGCUAAACUUGUUUAUCCACAUUUUAUAUUUUGAAAUCUCUCUAACCCAUUUACCUUCCUUCUUUGCUUUUGUUUUUUCCCUUUCAAAAAGCUGAUUAAUUUGUGAAUUACCGGAUGUUUUUCUAUUCAAUAGAUCCUACCAUUUGGGGAAAGAACUCAGGCAUCAGCUACUUAAGGUUCAGCAACAGUUUCCAGACAUCAUUAAGGAAGUUCGAGGUAGAGGUUUGUUCAAUGCUGUGGAGUUCAACAGCAAGACUUUGUCCCCUGUUUCUGCAUAUGAUAUUUGUCUGAAGUUGAAGGAAAGAGGAGUUCUUGCUAAGCCUACACAUGACACUAUUGUCCGGUUAACUCCUCCACUUUCCAUUAGGUAAGGAAGAUGUUUGAUGAGUGCUAAAUGUUAUAAUGUCACCGAAAGUAUAAAUAUCUUGAGAAUGAUCUGGUGUGAUGCUAUCUCUUUCCAUACAAUCCAAGUAAUAAACAAGAUUGAUCUGAUAUGGGUUAAAGAGAGAAGGUGCCUGGAUGAACAGUCACUAUCCAAGAUUAUUAUCCUGUACUAGGCCUUUAUGCUUUUCACAAAAAACUAGGACCUUAUUGAAACCUGAUACUAUCCAUUCACAUUUGCUUGGCCCUUUGAUUCGUAGUGGAAACUUUGUUUCUUUCUUCGGAUUCAAUGUAGUGAAUGAUGCCUCAAAAAUCUUUUAGUUAUACUGGAACAUUUUCAGAAAUGUAUCUGAAAAGAUUCUGUCACAAGACUAGUCAUGCCAAUUAAGGAUGGCAUUUGUUUUUGUUGCAAAAAUGAAACAAAUAAAAUCUGCACCACAUGCAAUUAUGUAUUCAAAGACCCACCUUACAUAGUUGAACAAGAUUUAUGUGGUAUGCUGUAAAUCAUCAUCCUGCUAUUGCAUUAUUGUUGACUCGUGAACAAGAUACUGAGAUGCUAUUUACCUGGCAGUAAAAGUUGGAAUGCACGUUUAAUCAGGAAACAAUUUUGUCACGAAAUUUUCUUAUGGGAAAAUUGUAUAACCUGGAAUAAUUUUUUCUUUUUCAGUUCGGAUGAGCUCCAAGAAGGAUCAAAGACUCUGCAUGAAGUUCUGGAACUUGAUCUACCAAAGAUGAAGGCGGCCAAACCAGAAAAGAUGCCAAUUGCUUCCACCACAUGUGACCGUUGUGGGCGAAACCAGUAAUGAUUCUUCUGGUUAGGAUGUCUCAAUUAUGUGCACAUUUACGAGGCUGUUUCAUUGAUUCAUCUCUUAAAUGCUGGCAUACAGAUCCCCUGAAAUAAGCAUGGCUAAUUUUCUAGUCCUCUUUUAAUCGGGAACUAUGAGAUUGAGAUCUCUCAUCUCAGUCUGGAAGUUAUUAAUGUUUAAGUUAAGAUACAUGACAAUUAAUGCAAUGAGGAAAGAAUGGUUGAAAGUUCUACAGGGUACUUUAUUUGUCUCUUGUUUUUAUGAGUCAGUUCUAUUUUUUUCCCGUUCAUUCUAUACUCCACAAAAUUUAUGUACACUUCUACCUACCAGAAAAGAGCGAAUAAUAGUGCUUCCUUAGAAUGAAACCCAUAAUGCACAUCUACAAGCACAAAACCUGCACAUUCUUGGAUUGCAUAAGAUCACUGUUUUUUUUUUCCUUGGAACAAUAUUGAGAAAAUGACGUGAAAUAAAGUUUGUGGUUUCACUUCAAAAGCCAAACUCGCCAGGAUGGACGAAUAGCGUAGUUAGCCUUUCUCUUCCUUCUACCUGAGUAUGUUUUUUAGUGUUCCUGCAAAUCCAUUGCUCUCUCUCUGGCUGAUUCUGAUUGCAUUAUUUACUGGUGUACGCUGUCCGCUUGAAUGUGUGUGUGUGAAGUGUGUUCAGACAGUGGGGUUCCUAAUCAAGCAGCUAGGACCUGCCCAUUAUUCUCUCCCUAUUUUAUUUACUUGGGAAAAUAUAUUGGAUAUGACGAUAAUUAGAAUAUAUCAAGUGUAUCAAACUUUGCAUAUCUUAUUAUAUAUCAUUAUUGUUUAGGGAGACGUACAAUAAUAAUGCAAAGAGUUUGGUGGCCAAGUAAUUGUUUAGCAAGAGACAGCUUCUUAAUCAAGUAUUAAUUAGAGAUUCGAGUCAUGAGAAUGUCUUCUCAGGAGCUCACCUUGCUAUAUAUAUAUAUAUAUAUAUAUAUAUAUAUAUGAGUUUGUCUUGGUGUGUUGGUUUGAGCCUAAGAAAAGUUAUGCUAGCUGGAUAUCAUUAUUGCUCUCUUCUCAGGAAGAGAAGGUCAAUCUAGCAGAGAGUCUCAUUUGCAGAAUUUUUGGCAUCUCAUUCAUGGUUGACAAGUGAGAAUCUCUCUCUCUCUCUCUCUCUCUCUCUCUAGUAUCUUAGAGCAAGCUAGCUAACAUCAUAGUCAUCUCUGUGGAUCCCAGGAACCUACUCCAUAUUUAAUUUCUCAAGAUAUUAUAAGAAAUAAGAGUCUUGAAAUUGCUCAUCCAUUAAAAUCUCAUUUUUCUUGAAAAAUUAAAAUUGUGUUCUUGUAUAGUUCACGAGAAUUUUUGAAAUACAAAAGUAAUUUUAUUAAAAAGAAUGUAAUUUUUUUAUAGAAUAACAUAUUGCAUGAUUAGAUAUUGUACAAGGAUACAAUUAUAGACUUGUUCAAAGGAUAAAUUAAGUCAUAAAACCAAAGAAAACUUAACAUGAAACUAAAGCUUUAUCCAAUUUGAUACAAUAAGUUUUUUUGUUUCUAAACCAGGUGUUGGUAAUUUUAUUUUGGUUCUACCGGGCAUUCAAGAGUUGAUUAUAUAUAUAUAUAUAUAUAUAUAUAUAUAUAUAUAUAUAUAUAUAAUCUGGUCUUAAUAGUUCACAUUUUGUUAUGUUUUCAUCUUGGCGUUGAUGAUGGAGAGAGAGAAAACUUUGAGAAUAGCAGGGUAAGGGGAGAAGGAUGACCUCCUCUUUAGUAUAAACUAGAUUGAUUGACCACGCUUCAUCACGUGUUGGAUUAAUUUCUUUAUAGUUGAUAAAAAUGAUAUUAAAGCAUCAUCAUUGUAUUUUAAAGAGUGGAAAAAAAAUUAAUAACUCAACAUAAUAGAAAGAGAACUAAAAAAAUAAUUAUCGUCAAAGUUCAUGAAUCAAACUGUAAAAUGAUAAAAUCGAGAAAACAAAUCUAUAAAAAAGGACUAAAAAACAAAAUAUCAGUAAAAUUAAGUGAGGUCAUCAAAACCCACGAGUAGUAUCAUGUCAAACCUCAAAUAUUAAAAAAUAUUGAAUUCAAGGGUAAAAUCAAAUUCAUAAAAGAAUCCAAAACAUAAAAAACAAAGAAAAUUAAUUUUCAACGAACUCAAUAUUAAUAAAUGAAAUUUUUAAAAAUAAUUAAAAAUGACUGAAAUGAACCCAGUCCAACCUUCCAAUUUGUGACAGACCGUGAGACUAGAUCACAAUGUAAAAGGAAAACAAGAAAAAAUAAUAAUGUAAAAUUCUAAACAAACCAAAAUAAUUAGGGAUGAAAUUGGAAAACAAUUUCAAUUAAAAAAAAUAUAAGAACAACUAAAAAUAACAAUCAAAAGAAUGAGGACCAUAUUUGAUAUAAAAAUAAAAUGUCAAGGUGUGAAAUUCAAAGACAAAUUAAUACAAUAAAGGAUUGAAGACCAAAAACAUUAUAGUUAAAAGAAUAAGAACCACAUCUAAUAUAAAAACAAAGUGUAAAGGGAUGCAAUUGAAAAAAUAAUUAACUUAAUAAAUGAUUCAAAACCAAAUACAUUACAAUUAAAAGAAUAAAGAUCAGACUUAAUAUUAUAUGUUAGUGUUUUUGUUGUUAUUUGCCAAUUUUCUCAUAAUGUAAUUGAAUCAAUUUUUUCACAUUUAUUUAUUAAAAAAUAUCAUAUUAUAGGUUUAUGAACAAAAAGAAUUGAAGUAUAAAUGUUAUCAAUUAUUGUAAAAGAAAUUAAAUCUCUCCCCCACAAAUUAUAUUAAUAAAGUUCUAUGGGUUCCGAUGUGAUGAAGUACCUAUCCAUCAGUUAAUAUUAUUUUAUCAUUUACUUAUAAUCAUCUUUCUGCUUAAUAUGUUCAAAUUACUUCAUAGUAGAUGUCACCAAUAGGUUUCUAUUUAAAAUUAUAUUUAUAGAUAAAAAAAAAAGGUUUAUUUUCUAAAUGAAUAUAUUUAUUUGAAUUCAUUUUACUCUUAUUUUGCUCAUCAAUCUACUUAAAUUGUUUUUCUAAUUUUGACCUAGUCUAUAAUUUUAAUUUUUACAUGUAGAGACUUGAUUGCAAAACAAAAUUCUAAAUUGUGUUUACUAUAUAAAAAAUGAUGACAAAAGAAUUUCAAUAAAGAAUUAUCUAUUUUUAUGAUACUGUGAUUGUCGUUUUCUAUGUCUUCAUCCUUGAUGGAUUUCUAUAAAUAAAAAUUAUUUGAAUUUACUAUUAAUAUAUUUACUCCCUCGUCCAAAGAGAGUUUUCUAUACAUGUCUUUAUGUUUUCUAUACAUGUCUUUAUUUUCAGUUCAAAUCCUAAUAUUCUUCUUAAUCUUCAUUCUAUCAUACAUAAUUUAUUAAAAGAAAUAAAAAGUUAUCAUUUACUCCCUCGUCCAAAGAGAGUUCAAUUGGAUUUUUAACAUAAUGGGAUAUUAAGUCAACACAAACACUUUUUAUUGUCUUUACUAAAUUAUUCCUUAAAAUUAAAUAUGGUUGAACAUUAAAUAUGUGAAUUCCAUUUUUAAUUAGGUGCUUAAUUCUUAAUUUUUAUUUUUUAUAUAUAUAAGAGAAAUGUAUUUUGAGAUAUCUAAAUAAGAAGAGGGUUUUUGUUUUUUUUUUUUUUUUGAAAUGAAGGGAGUGAUUCUUAUCUUAAUCUUGCUCUCUGUGUGAUCAAUAUAAAUUUAAGAUUCAUUUAUUAUCUAUAUACUUCAAUUGUUUUAUAUAAGUUUUCAAUAUUUUAGAUGACAUUCUUUCUUCAUUGGUUUAUAUUGGAAAAUCAAGUAAUAAAUUGACAUAAAUAUAAAUCAUAAUCUUAAAUAUAAUAAGAUUAAAUAAAUUAAAUAAUUUAAUUUAUUAUCAAUUCAAUAAUUGAUUGAAGAUCAAGUACAUUAUUUAACAACUUAUUAUUAUGAUCCCCGAAUAUUAGAAAAGUCAUAAGUAAUUUAAAUUAACCUUUUAGUGACUAGUUUCUUUGUAACACCCCAUAAUUUACUUCAUUCGUAAAGGAACUCUAAGCCUUAAACUUAAGAAAAUAGGUGAAUUUGUUUUCUAUAUAACAUCAUGUCAAUCUCUAUUCACCAUCCAAUAAUUCUGUAAAUGGAUACAAUAAUACACAAUUUAUACUUUUCUAAAUUACAUAUAUAUAAAUUAUUCUGGAAGUAUUUAUUUGAAAUACAAAAAUCUCUUCCCAAUGGAAGAUUAAAUAGCUCAAUGACAGUUAGGAGGCAUUGAGGCCUUCAAUAGAAAAAAUAUUUGAAACACUCACACUACUACAAAAAUCAUAAUAAGCAUUUGCAUCAUCGUAAUUGCUAACUAUACAAGCAAGACCUAUUUCUUUAGUUUUUCCGUGAACUCCUCAAAGUUAUAUCAAUUCUUAGACUUAGUAUAUUCUUUAUAAUUACUGUUGUGUUCUCUGUUCAUCAUUAUAAGUAUCAAACUAUCUUAGUCACCUUAUAGUGACUUAUACAAUUACGAUCUAGCUUAGCUGCGCUCAAUAUGAUUUAUUUGUUUCAUCUUAUUAAUUUAUCGGAUUUAUUUUUACAUUUCCAUAUUGUGUUUCUUUACACCUCAUAUUCAUUUUGCAUUUCGUUCACUUUACAAGCGCAUUUAAUUUGUUAUAAUAUCUAUUAUGUCAUCUUUCUCUCUAUUUUUUAUUCAAUAUCAAUCCUUCACAAGGAUUAGAUUUUUAUCAAUUUAAUUUUUUAUUUAUUCAAUAAUUUAUAACAUAAACACAAUUUACAAUUUUUAUUUAACAGUUAGGUUUCAUUCAACAUUCCAUUUAUAGUCUGACAAGUUGAUCAUCCCGACAAUAUUAACUCCACACAAGUCAAUUUAACUCAAAUUACAUAUCUCGAUCGUUAGAAAAAAUUGAUGCCACUAGCCCAUUACCGGGCGCUAGCCCCAUUACCAGCUAAUUAUUUCUUCUGUCUAUUAUCGAGCAUUAGCCCCAUUACCAGGUAACUAGUUCCACCGCCCAAUACCAGGCACUAGUUCCAUCACCCAUUACCACGUAACUAGUUCCACUGCUCAUUACCAUGUACUAGCUCCAUUAUGGAGUAACUAGUUCCUUUAUAUAUUACCAAUCGCUAGCCUCAUUAGCAGGUAACUAGUUUCAUUGUCUAUUACCGGGCACUAACCCUAUUAUUUUAAUAAAAUUACCAAGAUGCCCUUAUUAAUGACUCAUGUGUCAUCUUUAAUUUACCCGAAUGUAAGUACUCUCGCGAAGCCGAUUGACAUGAAAAUUUAACAUAGGAUAAAACAAUAAGCAUGGAGAUUCCCUAAAAAAUAUCAUCCCGAUUCAACAAUCAUUGAAAGAUAUAAUCGAUAUCGUAAAACUAGAUAGUCGGUGUCUUUUAUGCCAAAAUUUGAAUUUCAUACAUUAAUUUAUUUACUUAGAUCAUCAUGAAAUUUUCCCUUAAUAUAUACUCAUUAAAUUCAAUAUUACCCCACUUAUCAUUGAUUUGUCAAAACAAGUUUUUUGAUCGGGGUUUACAUAUCUUUUUUUUAUUAUUAUUUUUUAUCCAUUGUAACUCAUUGAUUUUAUCCACGUUAUGAAUUUAAAUUUAAAAUUCAUAAUUCUCAUUUUGACUUAAUAAUACCUUAAAAUUUAUUUAUAAUCUUUAUUACUUGAUGAUAUCUCAUUGCUUCAAUCCUAUAUUUACGUGGGGUUUAUAUUUACCUCUCCUAGAGAAAUUUCAUUCUUGAAAUCGAGGUGGCAGUGUACGCUUGACAUCAAAUUUAGGUUACAGUUUAAGCAAUCCAAUCCACCUAAUUGAAAAAACAUGGAUUUAUGAGUCUAAUUAAGGUUUGGGACUAACAAAUUCAUGAGCUGGAGAGACUGAAGAGAAAAUAAAUAGAUAGGAAAAAAAAGUUGCAGAACAACACUGGCAGGAAAGAUCUCUCCGGGUUGGUUGUGCUCCAUUCACCGGUGAACCUCACCGGCCACACAAUCCCGACCAGUGGUUUUGAAAGGCAGAACCUUAGAAACCCAACAUCGGAAAAUUUGAAUCACCCUCUCUACUCCUUCCUAAAAAAGUCCCUCCUUACAAUCCUCCCUCUCCUUAUCCCAGCAAAGACAAGAGGACAACUAUUCUAACUUGGGAAUGAUUAACUAAAAACAUUGUGGGUAAAAACAUGUAUAAUGAUUAACUUGGGAAUAAAAAAAAAGUGAAGUGAUAAAAAAUUUAAAAAGAAACUAAAAACAUUGUGGGUAACUAUUCUAACUCACAAUGGAUUGUGUUCUCCUAUAUUGUGUUUCCAUCUUCUUCUUUUUUAAUUUCUUCCAUAUUGCAUUGCCUCAUGUCUUUAUUAUUUUAAACAUCGUUUCAUAGUUUAUCGAGGAUCAACUUUGCAAAACCAAACUAUAAUUAUUAAAUGCAAAGCAAGAGGAUCUAAUAAAAAAAGGAUGAGAAUAAAAAAUAAAAAAAAAAGAAGGAUGCAAAUGAAAAAACAAAUUGAGGUGGUAAAAAAAGUUUGAGAACCUUAUAAAAAAAUAAUGCAAAUAAAAGAAAAAAAACUUGAGGUGGUUCACUACUUAUAUGAACAAGUUUCCACCCAAGUUUUGUAAUGUAUAGUAUAAUACUAGGCAAAGGCCCGCACUAUACUGCACGUCCGUAUUUUUUAUGGCAAAAAAAUGAUGUCUAGGUAAUGCAAACAUGUUUUAAAAAAAUAAGAGAUAUUAACAAUUCAAGUUAUAAUAAAUAAGUUAAUUUUUUUUAAUUAGAUGAUAAAAGAAAAGGAAAUGAUAUUAAUCAUAUGUUGUUUUUAAGAACAAUGAUCAUGAUACCUUGAAAAAAAUUAUGGGAGCACGAGAUUUGAUAAAAAAAAAUAAGAAAAUUGGACAAAGUCAAUAAACACUAAAGAACAUAACCAGAAAAAAAAAAUUAACUACAUAAAAGGAUCUAAAAUAAAAAAAAAUAAUUAAAAGAAUGAAGGUGAAAAUCAAAAUAAAAAAUAAAUUGGAGGGCAACUAAAUUUUUUCAAUUGGAAGGUUAAAUUCAAAAAAAAAAUCAAACAAAUAAAAGAAUGAGGAUAAAAUUAUAUAUAAAAAAAUAACACACCAUAAACUUGGAUUGAAUGGUGAAAUUGAAAACCAAUAAAACUUUUAUAAAAAAGUGAAGAAAAAAAAUAAAAAAUUCAAAUACUAAGGACAAAAUAAAAAAAAGAAUAUAUAAAAAAUUAAAAUUGAAUGAUUAAAUAAAAAAGAAAUAACACUUAUACAAAAGAACAAAGGACAAAAAAAUAAAUUAAAAGAAAAAAAGGAUUUAAAUUUUUGUUUGGAGGGUUAAAUUUCAACAAUAAAAAAUAAUUAAGGAUCAAAUUGAAAAUAAUAACACUAAAUAAACUUGGAUUGAAGGGUGAAAUUGAGGAAAAAAAUUGUUAUAAAAGGGUCAACUAAAGAAAUUAAAAAUCAAAACAAUAAUGAUCAAAUUGAAAAGCAUAAUAUAUUACAAAUUAAAAUAAAAUACUAAAUUGAAAGGAAAUAAAAAUCUUAUUAAAGAGUCAAAGGACAAAAAUAUGUUAUAAAAAAAAAAGUCAAAUCACAAAGCAUAAAAAGUGUAUUUCGCCACUCCGAAACCCCUUCCGAUUUCAGUAUAUACUAGUUGCAUGACCCGCGCGAUGCCACGGGUCAAUUUUUUUGUAUAAAAAAUAUCAAAAAAAGCUAAAAUCUAAAAGUUUUAGGUCUUUUUGCAAAGCUAUACCCAAGAGUCUUAGGUCUGGCUGCAACGCCUGACCCAAGAGUAAUAUUAAUAAUAAUAUUAAACUUGCAUGACCCAAGUUUAAGUGGGUCUGGCUGCAAAUACCAGACUCAAUAGCCUUGGAUGUGGGUCUAGCUGCAAGGUCGUGUCAUAAAAGUGUGAUAAUUAAAUAGAUUAAUUAAAAAGAAAAAAAUAAAGAAAAAAAACCAGCAGGAAGAAAAAAACUAAUGAAGAAAAAGAAAAAAAAUCUGAAUUAACUAGGUUAAUCCUUUAAACCAAGUUAACCUGUCAAACCUUGGAUUCAUGUCGUGAAAGUUUGAUAACUAAAUAGGAAAAAAAAAUUCACGGGUUAACCCAGAAUUAACUGGGCUAACCUGUCAAAUAAGAUUAACCAGUCAAACCCGGGAUCCGUGUCAUGAAUGUUUGAUAACUAAAUAGAAAAAAAUUUAACAUUACCAAACUAAAUUAAACAAAAAAAAAUUAAUUAAAAAGGAAAAAAAACAAAAAAAAAAACAAUAGGCAUCAGCCUUUUCACUAUAGACUGCACUGUGAAGAAAAAGAAAAAAAAUCUAAAUUAACUGGGUUAACCCUUCAAACCAGGUUAACCCGUCAAACCUGGGAUUCAAGUCAUGAAAGUUUGAUAACUAAAUAGAAAAAAAAUUUGACGGGUUAAUCCAUAAUUAACUGGGUUAAGCCGUCAAACCAGGUUAAUCCAUCAAACUCGGGAUACGUGUAAUGAAAGUCUGAUAAUUAAAUAGAAAGAAAUUUAACAUUAACAAACUAUACUAAAUGAAAAAAAUGAAUUAAAACAAAAAAAAAGCAAAAAACAAAUUCUAGGUUAACCCGUCAAACCCAAAAUACGUGUCAUGAAGGUCUGAUAAUUAAAUAGAAAGAAAUUUAACAUUAACAAACUAAACUAAACAAAAAAAUUAAUUAAAAUGAAAAAAAGCAAAAAAAAAAAAUUCCGGGUUAACUCGUCAAACCAUGUUAACCCGUCAAACCCGGGAUCUCUGUUAUGAAAGUCUGAUAACUAAAUAAAAAAAAAUUAACAUUAACAAACUAAAUUAAAUUAAAAAAUUCAUUAAAAGAAAAAAAUCAAAGAAAAAGCAAAAAAAAAAAAAAAACCCGAAAGGCAUAAAAAAUGAAAAAAAAAAAAACAGGAAAAAAAAAGACAGCUCAGCCUUUGGACUGCAGACUGCACUGUGCUGUCCAAAACCAGGUCAACUCAUUAAACCCGAGAUACGUGUCAUGAAAGUCUGAUAAUUAAAUAGAAAAAAAUUCAACAUUAACAAACUAAACUAAACAAAAAUAAAAUUAAUUAAAACGAAAAAAAGCAAAAAAAAAAUUCAGGUUAACUUGUCAAACAAAAAAAAAACGAUUUUUUUUUUAAAAAAAGAUAGCUCAACAAAAAAAAAACUAAAGGCAUCACUGUAAAAAAAAACAGGAAAAAAAUUUAAAAACAAAAAAAAAACUAAAUCAUCGGGUUUUACUGUAGAUUGUACUGUGCAGUCCACAGUAAAACACUGAUGCGUUUUAGUAUAUGAUAUAAUAAAAUAUAAUGUUAUAUAUUUAUGCAAUGUAAAUAUACUUGGUUGCCAGUGGUAAAUUUGCCAGGUUAUAUGGCACCCAAUUAUCUAAACAUGUAUGUAUUGUAUAGGGAAGCAUCAUUCAAUAAACGAUCACGGGAGUGGACAGUUAACCUAAGUGGGUGCCACCUAAUAAAAUUUAAGACAAUCAUCAUAAGCAAGAAACGUAUGGCUGCCCUUAGUGAAUUAAAGGUCCCUUUUGGAGGCCAAGAUCACACUAUACAUCCCGAAAUGACAAUAAGCAGAUACCUAAAAUAAGAAUCGAAGUGCUUUGUCUCUACUCAGUAUCGGCAGAAUAGUAAUGAAAGUGCUCUGAUAUUGACAAGAUAAAUUAAUCAAAUCUGCUUAUCGUGUGUGUUCCCACAGCUCUGAUGAUUUUUUACUAGCUAGCUGGUGAAGUGCGAAGGAGAAGUGAUGAACAAUUCUGAACUCGGGUAGUUAUUGAGUAGCAUGAGUAGAGAUAUUAGAUAUUAAAUAUUAGAUAUACAUUUUCGAUAUAGAUGUUAUUAGAUAAGGACUACGUGUUGAGUAUGUUAUCGGAUUUCUAAAGGAUGAUUAAGAAGAGUCUUGGAGUGGAGAUAUUUAUGCUUGAGACUACUUAUUGGUGUUACCGUAAGAAACACUCUUAUAGCCAUAUGUCUUAUAUAAAGGGUCGGCCAAAAGAUUGGGGAUAAUGUGUUUUAUUUUGAUUCCUAGAGUUAUGUGGAUAUCUCAUUAUUUAAACACAAGAAUGAAUAUGUUAAGGUCUUAUUGAUAAUAUAUGUCGCACGUAUAUGGCUUCGCGACAAUCGUCCUCUUAGGUCAUAAUUUCUCUGGUGAUGGGGGAGAGAAUAAGGAAUUCUUGUUUCUUAUUAGUAAAAAAACAGAUCGAGUCGUCACCUAAUAUUUUGGUCACUAGAGACUCUAACUUGUCUCAGAGUUUAGAUAAGAGAACUAGUUGUGUAUAGAGAUGACGUAUCACCCCUAGUACACCUUACCUAAAUUAAACUAAGAUAUUGUUGUGUUUUUUAAUUGGUAUUCUAUUUAAGAUUUAAGAAAAGUUCUUCUUGAUAAGGAGAUCCUUAUCUUAUUAGGUUAACUCCUAGUCAUUCUAAAAUCAAAAUGUAAAAAAUAAAACAAAGUGUCUUUUAUUCAAUAUCAGGAAUAUAUUUUAUGUUUAAGUUCAUAGUCUCGUUUAUUAAAAGAAACAAAAUAAAUUUUUUUUGGUAUUUUUAAAAUAUAAACCAAGUUCUCAUGACUUUAAUAAACCAGUUAUUAAAUCCAAUGCGUAUGUAAAAUAAAAAAGACUAUUUUUUGUGAUUUUUUAAUAUGCUAUAAUAAGCAAAUAUAAUUUAUUUUUGAGAUAUUUGGCUAUUUGCACACAAAUAAAAACACAUUUUUGUAUUUUUCUUUGAAUAAGAGAAUUUUAAUUUUUGUGUAAUUUUCUGAAAUUUUUUUGAAGAACAGAGGAUAUAUUUAAUAUUGAGUCAGCAUCUUAUAAUAUAGGUCUACAACACAAAUAUUAAAUAACAUGGUUGGAAAAAACAUGAGGAACCCAAAAAGAAUUUUAAAAAGGUCCUUUAAUUUUUUCAAAAUUUUUUGGAAAUUAUUUGGGGUUCGUGUGGUAAAAACAUAAAAAAAUAAACACUACUGGAAAAUCAGUUGAGCGUGUUUGUCAAACAUGCCCUUAACAAAAAAAAAAGAGACUUUGAAUAUUCUUUAAGGUCGUAUUUGGCAAACACAUCUUAAGGAAAAAAAAAAUACACUUUUCCUUUUGUAAAAACUGGACUUGCCAAACACCGCUUUAUUUAAAGGACGAGCUCAACCCAUCCUCAUGGGCCAGCCUUCCUAGACAAAAGAUUUAAGCCCACAAACAAGGUCCAGAAACAAAAUAAGAAACACUGCAGGUCAAACAAGUUUUUUGUUUGAAUUUGAUGAAGAAUGUCAACCCAUUUCUAGGUUAUUCCCCAAAUUUACCUUUUUUAAAAAUAUUUAUUUGCUUAAUUGAUAUAAAUUAAAAAAAUAUACUAAAACAAUUAGAUAAAUCACCGUAACAAUUCAUAGUAUCACAAUUUUUUCAAUUUUAUCCUUAAAUCUUUUUUUAUUGAAGCUUUCUAUUUCCAAAUUAAUGACCAAUUUCUUAAAAUUUUAAGGAAGGAAAAAAAACAAAGUGUAAAAUAAUUAUGAAUCCCAUGAAAAAUCUCAAAUUCGCUAGAAAAAACUCUAUUUAGUUCACCUAAUUUUCCUUUUCUUCCUCUAUGAUCCUUUAGUUUUUAUUAUUUUUAUUUUGGUUCAAAAGUUUAUUUUCUUAGCAUUUUAGUCAUUGAGUUUGAGAGAUGAGAGAAAAGGUCACUUGAAAAAGGCAAAAGAGAGAGAAAGUCACCAUUCCACCCCAAUUUGACAAUAAAAAUUAUUGAUUUUAGUGUCAAUGAGUUCUAUUAGACAAUAAGAGUUUGAUGGUGGUGGUUUUCUCCUAUAAAUAUGCUUGGAAAAAUAUAUCCAAUUCUAUUUAGUUUUUUUUAUUCGAUUGAUUUUCUUUUUUCUAGUGAUUUUUUGGUGUUUUGGUAUUGGUAAGUAGUUUAUAGAGGUUUUAUGGCAUUUUUAGAGGUGUUUUUAAGUAAAAACAACUAAAAAAUUGUUUUUUUUUUGUUCAAAUAUUUAGACCUUGAUUUUUCGGUCAUCGUAAAACAAAAUAGUAGGCAACCACCCACUUUAAAAAAACACUAGUGAAUGGCGAUCGUUCUUUUUUAAGGGAAAAAACAGGUGCGGGAUUGGGCAUUUUGAUUAAGGUUUGGCGUGUGGUUUGGCUCAUCAGUGCCUAACUCUUUUCAUUAAUUGUUUCUAUUGAGUUAGAUUUUUUUUUAAUAGUGAUUGAUUAUAUAUAUAUAUAUAUUAGUUGCAUGAUAUUUUGAAGAGAAUAAUUUGAUUACUCUUGAUUUUUUUCCCUAUAUUUCAUAAUUUUAAUUUGCUUUUUAUAAAAUUAUUGAUGCCUCAAAUAAAUAUUCUGAUAUUGGAUUGGUGUUUGAUUUUUUGAGUAUAUAUAUAUAUUUUAUCAUAUAAAUAAAUAAAAAAUAAUUUCACAAAAAAAAACUAUUAAACCCAGUGGAGUCCAUGACUUGGUCACGGUAUGGCAAGUAAACUCGGGUAAAUCUAGUAUAUUGUAGUAUUAGUGUUUUAAAAAAUAUAUCAUCUUGAUUAUUUUUUAAAAGCCAAAUCAUGUUUUUACAGCCCGUCCGGGUUGUUUUAAGACCCGCCAAGUCAACUAGGUUACGUCGGACAAUUAAAAAAUUAAAUAAUCGAUAUCAUACCUAUAAGGAGAAGAAAUGAAAGAUCGUUGAAGAACCAUCGCCACUCCAUCUUGGACAUCACCCACAACAACAAAAAAGUUUGUUGAGAUGGUUUAAACUCCAUCGCAAAAGGAUGCAAGAUGACAUCAAAAUAAGCCACAUGGUUUGCUAGAGCAAUACUCUAAAAAAGCAAACCGAAUAAAACACAAUAAAGUGAGUAUAUAUUUAUAUUCAAUCAAUUGAUUCUAUUUAAUGUAAGAAAAAAAAGUUGUUUCAAGAAAAUAUAUUUAACAAAGAACAAAAAAUAAAGACCUCAGAUAACCCAACCAUAUAAAUAAACAAAGGAUGCAGAAAGCAUAUAUAUAAGAAAAACGCAGAGGUCAACCUCCAAUAAAAUAAAUAUCAAAGGAUAAGAUUGAAAAAACAUUAGUUUGAAAGAAUGGUAAAGAAAAAAACAAAGCAACCCUUAGUGAACGUCCUUAAGUUGGGUUAAUUUUCCAUACAACAGCGGGUGAAAUUCCAAAAUGAGCUUAACCAAAAAACUCAAAUCCACAUCAAUCAAAUUCAAAUUAAUUUAACAUUGAAUGAUGAAAUAUAGUGUAAAAAAAGAUACUAAACUAAAAAAUUUGGCAAAGCAAAAAAAAAUACAAUAAAAAGAAUGAUGAUAAAAUCCGAUAAGAAAAAAAUGAUUAAGGGUGAAAUUGAAAAAAAAAAGACAUUAUAAAAAUUAUCUCAGAUGACAUAAAUAACAAUUUAAAAAAUGAGUACCAAAUUAAACAAAUUUAGAAAAUCAAAUGAGGAUGAAAUUGAAACAAAUUUUUAUUUUUAUAAGUUAUUUUAAAUAAAACAAAUAUCAACCAAAAGAUCAGGAACUAAAUAAAAAAUAAAGAGAAGUAAAAAAAAUAAAUGAGGAUGAAAUUGGAACAAAUGUUUUAUUUGCAUAAGUUAUUUGAAAUAAAACAAAUAUCAACCAAAAGAUCAAUGACUAAAUAAAAAACAAAGAGAAUGUAAGAGGUUGAUUUGAAAAAUUGCAGAGAAGGGUGCAAAAAUAGAGAGAGAGAGAGAGAGAGAGAGAGAGAUGUUUUAUACUUGCGCCAUUGUUAUAUGGAAAAGAUACCGAGACGAAUCUAAAGACGUCUCAUAAUGAUAUUUUUAGUUGCCAAAAUUAGUCGCACGUGUCAUCCAAAGGUGGCUGACAUGUGCCCAACAUGCAUCAAUGAUUUUUUUAAAAUUCUUUUAAUUUAUUAAAAGACAAAACUAACCCUCACUUUAUCUAUAUAUAUAAAAAAAACCAAUAGUGCAAUAAAAAAAUGCCCUUAGAUCCUGUACAUAAAAAAUUAAACCUUAAGGGCAAGAAGGUGUUUUGACUAUGCAAAUAAAAACUAUAAGACCAAAACACCCCUUUUAGCUAGUCAAAGUAUUUUUUAUAUAAGGGCAAAUUGGUUAUUUUAUUGUACAUUUUAUAAUUAAAAAUACAAAUUUACCCUCAAUAACACCAAACAAUGUAUUAAUUUUAAGAAUAUUUAUGAUAAUUUAGUAUGCAAUUUUAAAAAUAAAUAUUUAUCAUACCCUCGGUCACUUUAAAAUGUCAAAAUAUUCUUAUUAUAAAGAUAACCAUUGACCUAACCAUUGACCUGAAGCUAUUUUUUUAAGGGCAAGAAAGUAAAUUUUGUAUUUUCAUCCAUAAUAAAAUAUGUGCAGGAGAAUAAAUUCUUUUUUAAUGGCUUAGGAAAAAAAGUUUUUUUUAAUGGAGAAUUAAGAACGUGAAGAUGAGAAAAGAUAAUGGAAAAAAGAAAAAGAAAAAGAAAAAGAAAAAGAAAAAAAGAGAGAGUAAGAGUAAGUUUUAUUAAAAAUAUUUUAAAAAGAAAAUGAAUUUCCUUUUCCGCAAGGUGGCUUUAUAUGAAAUGUCAUCGUCAUCUUCUAUCUUUAAUAACUUUCUAUCUUUCUUUAUGUAAAGACAAAAACCAUGGAUCAAUCUACGCCCUUCAUUCUCACACAUCAUCACACUACAUUUCUUGUUUGACAUUGCAAGCAAUCCUGUAUCUUAUUAUGUUUUUUAAAUGUUUUUCAUUUUUAAUUAUUUUUUAUAUUUUUUAUACUAAUAUUAAAAGUAAAUAAAAAAUAUUAUUAUAAUAUAUUUCUAAAUAAAAAAUAAAUUAAAAAAUACUUCUAAAUAUUGUUUUUUCAGAAUACGUGGUAAUGCGGUUAAAUAAUUAUUUUAUAAUUUAUAAUUUUAAUUUUAUUUUAAGUUAAAAUGUUUUUAAUUAUUUUGAUAAGUUAAUAUUAAAAAUAAAAUUUAAAAUAAUAAUAAAAAUAUUAUUUUAAAAACUGACUCUGCAUCUGUAUCUGUACCAUUAUUGUUGUGCCUAUCAUCAUCUCUCUCUCUCUUAGAAAAUAACUAGCAAUCCAUCUCCCAUUUCUUUUUCUUCUUAUUAUCUCCCAUUUACUUAGAUCCAUGCAGCAGCUCCAGCCCUUUGUCUCUCUUUCUAAUUUGCUUUAAUUUUUUAUUUUCUCUUCUCUUUGUUUCCUCAGAAAUCGAACGAUAGGAGAAAGAUGAGCUCCCUUCGUCCAGAUCCGACCUCCAGAAUUCACCCUGAGCCUGAACCAACUACUACUACUUCCUCUCCUUCAAUCGACCAUUUCGACCGCCUUCCUGACUCUCUUCUCUUACUCGUUUUCAACAAAAUCGGCGAUGUCAAAGCUCUCGGUCGCUGCUGUGUUGUUUGUCUCCGCUUCCACUCUCUUGUCCCUCAAGUCGACAACGUUGUUGUCCGUGUCGACUGUGUCAUCUCCGAUGAUGACACCUCCUCCUCCUCCUCCUCCACAAAGUCACACUCUCCCUCCUCUUCUUCUGGAUUCUCCUCCAUCUUUCGAUUAGUCUUCGGUGGCAUUGUCAAACCCUUCCAAGUUCUGGGUCAGCUGCUUGGGCCCAAGGUUAAUUCGCGAAAUGGGUUUCUCAAUUCUUCGCUCUCUGUCGGCACCACCACGAGCACCGACGAUGAUACGGAACCGGAUCAAGGUGGUGUCACCCAUCAUUCUCCAACUCAGGUUCUUAAGAAUUUUAAUGAGAUUCGGUUUCUGCGAAUCGAGUUACCCAGUGGGGAAUUGGGGAUUGAUGAUGGGGUUCUUUUAAAAUGGAGGGCUGAUUUCGGAUCUACACUUGAUAAUUGUGUUAUCCUUGGUGCUGCUUCUGUCUUUACCAAUAAUAAGAAUUCUUUUGUUAUGCAAGAAAAUGAUGCUAUAUGCAACAGUACUGCUGCUAUUAAUAAUAAUAAUGGUGUUGAUGAUAAUGGAAGCAUACCAGAGUCGUUUUACACCAAUGGGGGAUUGAAGUUGAGAGUGGUGUGGACUAUUAGCUCUUUAAUUGCUGCAUCUGCUAGGCAUUAUUUGCUUCAACCAAUUAUUGCUGAGCAUAAGACUCUUGAUAGUUUGGUAUUGACUGACGCUGACGGGCAGGGAGUCUUGCGUAUGAACAGGGAGCAACUGGAGGAGUUGAGGGUGAAGCCAUUAUCGGCUUCUUCUGCUUCGAAGAGGACUCUUGUGCCUGCAUUGAAUAUGCGGCUUUGGUAUGCUCCUCACUUGGAAUUGCCUGAUGGGGUUGUGCUGAAAGGGGCUACUUUGGUUGCUAUUAGGCCUAGUGACCAGGCUGCUACUAAAAAGGAUGUGUCUGAUAUCUCAUGCCUGUCCACUGCAUUUGAGGAGCCUUAUGGUACCGCAGCUAAGAUGCUGGUGAAGAGGAGGACUUACUGCUUGGAGAUGAACUCAUUCUGAUUACAGUAAUGGGAUUGAGGUGGAUAUUUGCAUCUCUGCACAUUUGUAGUAUUCCUGUAUUAUUUUGCACGAAUAUUUUAAUGCCUAAUUGCACAAUGCAGAUGGUUUUUAUUUUUUAUUUACAAAUAUUUGCUUGUUAUGUUGUCGAUUAAUUUUGUCUUUGUUGCGUGCAUAACUUUUAGCCAUGCGAAUGCCUUCUUCUCUCGUCUUUGUGAUGCAUGCCAGUUGCUCCUUGUUUACUUAACUUGUAUUGGACAGAAAAACAUAAUAGUUGUAAGGGGGAGACUUGUCCUUGAAUACAAGAUUGGGAUCUUGUUGUCACUGCUGUGACCGUUAUUGUGGUGCCAUACCAUUUUAGGAUUCUCAUUGUGUCUUAAUUGCGAACCUGCACAUCAUAAUGUGCUUGCUUCAAAUGACUUUGUAUACUUUUUUUAAAUUGGAAUGCAGAUGUAUUUCGCUUUCAACAGCUGGUUAUGAUUUGAUCUUGUUUGUGGUGUGUCAUUUAUUACUCAGAAUUUACUCUAUAAAUUAGUAAAAUACUUGAUUACUUUUUGGUCUAAAAAUUUUGUAAUGUGCUUUCAGGGAAAGCACAAUGGUUUAAGGCAAAGUGGAUGUGAAUGUUCUGCAGAGUGAAGAAUCAGAAAACAAUUUUUCUUUAUGCUUUGGCAUAACUGGAUGCAGUGUCUCAUGAAACUGAAUCUUUCUUUGGACUGCCACUGGAAUCCCCAUCUGCAGUUGAUGAUGCCUUGCAGUCUUUUCAGCCUUUUGUGCAUGACUGACAACCACCAGCAGCUUGUUUUAAUUUCAAGCAUAUGCUUGUAAGGUGCACACAUGCAACUAGAUGAAUGCAGUAAGAGCUUUGAGUUUGUAGCGAUUUACUUUAAUUUAGAAUUAUGUAUGUGAAUAUUGUAGGUAUGAGUAUGUUGCACUUAUAUUACACUUCUGUCGUACAGUAAGCAAUGUACUCCUGGUUAACCUUAAAAUGUUCUCUUUUGCAGCUGACUAAAUGUUAGCAAACAUAUACAGUUGUUUUGCUUGUAAAUGACUUGAACUUAUUUCUUGAACCUGUGUAGUAAUCUGUUUAGCUGCUUGCAUCUUUGAGUAUUAUGACAAACUUGUUUUCCAAUUUUGUGAUGAUUGCUAUGGUUGGAACAUGAGGAUAAUAUCUAGAUAUUGCAUGAGAAGGGUAGUAAAGUAGGGAUUUAGUGUAUAAUGUCAUUGGUUUAGGCAAUGAUGGUGUAAAGUGCUCCCAUUAGCUUUGUUUCUUGUUUCUGGAUUUGUUCUUCAUUGAUGGUUGACCUUGUGAAAAGCUUCAUCAAGCAAAUUCCUUGGAUUUAGGGAUGUCUGUUGCUGCUUGCUAUAUUGUUAUCUGGGUUUCUAAAAGAAAUAUGUUCUGUAUUUGUUGGGUUUGGCCUUCUACAUGCAACUAUCUUGCUUUAGAUUUUGUUUCUGGCAAGCUCUUGUUUGCAGCCCCCUAGGUUAUAAGAAAACAUGUUUGUUUCUCAAUAACCAUUGGGUCAAAUUACGUGCUAAUGCUGGUGGGAUCAUAAACUAGGUGGGUAAUGUUGCUUUUAGGUUAAUGUUAGUUCUAGUUGAUGUGUCCAACAGUCCGUUAGCCCAAAAGAGGAAGCAUUAGCAUAGUCUGUUUCGGUUAGGCUACUUUCUGUAUCUUUUCAUGUCUAGUUAAUGUGUUGGCCAUCACUGUUAUUCAUGCCUAAAUUAUUUUUUCCUUAGAAUCAGAUGGAAAUGACAGUUGACACUGUAUUGAACAUAUUGACCUGUUGAGUAUGGAAAUCUGUUGCUGUUUGUGAGCAGACAGGAAAAGUUGGGACCAAAUUCCAGAGGGAAACUUAGCGGUAUGGAUGAUUUUGCACACUACUUUACUUCCCUAUCGUGACUAGAUUAAGAUAAAACAUGUUACAAGUAGGUUAUAUGAACCUAGUUUGUUCGUGGUUUUUCUUGUUAGUUUUCCUUUGCAAGCUACCAAAUUAUUCGGUGUGCUAGCAUGCUACAUGGCGAAGUGACUUGCAUAGUAUAGUUUAGACAGGCAGGCAGCAGAAUGGACGCCAAUUAGAAAGAAACAAUCAAGGCAAUUACUGCUCUUCCCGUGCAUAUACAUAUAUAGGUGUUGCUUUAAUAAUAAUAAUAAUAAAACAAAAGGCCAGCCUCUUUUGUCUCUAUGAAUUAGGGGUGGGUGUGGUUGUUGUUGUUUUUUAAAGUAGUUUUUGCUUGAAAAUACAUGAAAAUAAUGCAUCAAAUCCAUACUGCUACUCAUAAGAACCUCUCUGGAUUUUAGUGGUUAUCAUCGUAAUCGCAUGUAAAUGAAUAGUGAGGGAAGAAGGAAUUGGUUGCAUAGAAAUCUACCGUUGAGGAAGCUGCCAGAUUUGGCAACUUGUACCGACGAUGAACAAAGUCUAGAAAUUUCGUGGCCCUGACAACACUAGUAAAUGAAUCUCCAUGCGCUUUGUUACACACACGAGAUGAGAGAUGGAUGAUGUCUCUUUUUUAGUUCUAAUCUUAGCUAUCAUGUGUGUGUGUGUCAGCGGCACCACCGUUGAGAGCAGGUGCCCUCAUGCAUGCACAAACCUUUUUAAAAUUUUGAGACUAUUUUUAUCUUCCUUGGAAGAAUUGAUUAGCGAGUUCCGCCGCUGCCUUUCAUCUGUUUAUCACAUGAUAUAUCUGACGAUCCACGCGAAGGAAGCCUGGACUUCUCUUAGCUACAGGGAGCGGAGCUCCCCUUUCGACUUCUAUGCUACAAUUUUGUUAAUGAUAAUGUCGAAGUUAUGAGAACCAUUUUUGAUCGGAGGGGGAUUAUAUGAGAAACAAUAUACGGGAAAAACAAGCCCCGCAUGUUUAUCAAACAAAACAGACAAUUGCAAUUGUGGAGUGUUGAUUUGAUUUCUUUUUUAUUGAAUGAGAUAUUUAUACAAAUAAAAGGCUAAAUUGAAAAGUUAUAGACAAAUACUGAUCAAAAUACUUGAUUUUAUGUUGUAGGGAGUUAUUUACGUUUUUUUUUUUUUAUCAGGAAAUUAAUAAUUUAGAUUCUAUCCAAAUAAAAUAAUUUACUAGUAUAAUCCCUUAUUUUCUUAUUAAUCUAUUUUUCUCUACCCAAAAAUAUAGUUUCUUUUAGUAAUGUACUUCAUGAUUAUAAUAAUCCAAAUCAAUGAAAGAAAGACAUAUUUUUAAUUAAAACCUCGUUAGUAAAAUAAUUGUGAUUCUUUCCUUGGUAAUUUGUUUAUCAGAAUGUUUAUUUUUUGAAGCAAAAAGUUAUGAGAAUUAUAAAAGUAAAAUUUAAUAAAUUUUUUUUAAUGAUUUUACUACUACAUUGUGAAUGUAUUAAAAAAAAUAUAAGAAUAAUACACUAGAAAUAUUUUUAUAAUUUUAUAUAGAAAAGAAGAAAAUCAAAAGUUAAUAAAGAAUAAACAAAAAUCAUGAAGGGAUGUAAAAAAAGCGCUCAAUGAUUUUUUUUUAAUAUAAUCUUAUUCUUAAAAAUAAUAUUUUUAAGAUAUAUUUAAGUUAUUUAUUUCCAUGAUAUUUCUAUAUUGUGCAUUUGAUAAUUUUAUAAAAAAACAUUAUGAUGUCACAAAAAAACUAAAUAUAAACUGAACAACAUUUAAUAGAAUAAUAUUUUUAAGUUAUUUAUUUGAAUGAAGUUUAAUUUUUUUUUUAAAAAAAAGACUAGACAACUAGGCCUAAGUAACCUAGUGCCUAGUCCUUUUAAUUUCUUUCCCCCACCUCUUUGUAAAAAAAAUAAAGUAGAUGGUGCGUCAUCUACUACUGUAGAGGACACAUCGUUUAUUUGCUUAGUUUUUUACCACUAGAGAGGUGAUAGAAAAAUUGAGAUGAGUGUUUUUUUUACUCAAAAUGUUUGACUUAUUUUCACCUAAUAAGCAUCCUUAUGAUGUCAAUAAAUCAAUCUCUUAACCCAAAACAUCACAAAACCAAUUAAUAAACACAAAACCAAAUUGAUGGAAAAUCAUCUUGACCUCAAUCUACUUUUUAGGCAAGAUGAAAGGGAAAAAAACCUCAAUGGAACUCCUUUCAUUUAAUAGAACAAUUGACAUCGAGAACAAAUUUUUUCAUGGCCAAAAUGUCAGCAACUGACGACUUCCUUUCUCUUUCAUAAUUUUUCAAUGAUUUUCUCUCUCAACCCCCAAACUCAAGGACUAAAAAAAUAAACAAAAUGAGCUUUUAGAUCAAAAUAAAAAUUGUAAAAACUUUGAGAUUGACCAUCUAUUUUCUCCAUCCUCUACAUUGUGGUCCUCUCUCUUUUAAUUUUUCCAAUUCUUCCAUUCUACUAUAAUCAAAAUACCCUCAUCUUCAUCGUCAUUAGGUUCGGAUUUAUUAUUGAUGUAUGCAUGAUUAUACAUACUUGGAUCAUCUCUUCCUAUAAUUUUAGGUAUCAAUGUCCAGUUAAUUGCACUCUCAACUAUCCUAGAUGGACCGACAAACUAUAAGGCUUGUGUACCCAUUUGAAUAUACAUGGGGAUUGGAACCCAAAUUUACUCCUACUCCACAGUACAUGAGGAUUUUACUUAUUUAGGUCAACUAUUCAAGUACAAUUCAAUGUAUUUCAAUCCAUUUUGGAUGGAGAGCUGAUUAUAGUCUUCAAACUAACAAAACAAGAAAUUAGUAUGACAACAUACUGAAUAAAACGUUCCUUAUCAAGCAUCCUCCAAGUAAUAUCAACUUUAAAAUCAUUAUAAUUCCACCCAAUUUCUCCAUAUAUCACUCAUUUAAUUUUAGAUAGUGAUAUAUUUAUACUAGCACUCAAAAUCAGAUUGCUUUCUCCAUUUUAAACGAUCAUAUAUGUAACAAUAAUAUUGCCAUAAUUACAUAGCAAUAACAUAUUUUAGAAGACAUGUUUUGUAAAACAACAAAACCCAUUUCAAUUAAUUAUCAUAAAUCCUCAUUAGUUCAAUCAAAAUUAAUAGCAUCUCUUCCAUCGAUUCAUAUCUAAUUACUUCAAUUGGACAAAAUUAUCAAUUAUCUCAAUUAACCCAAAACUUCAAUGUAAAACUCUAAUUAAUCUUAUUAAACCAAAUUAAAGUUAUUUAUAGCAUUAAUUUCUUUAAUUGAUACCUAAUUGCAUCCUUUAAUGUCUAAUUGCUUCAAUUGGACAAAAUUCUCAAUCAUAGCAAUUACUUCUAAAAUUCAAUGUAAAAUCCUAAUUAAAUUCUCAUUAGUUCAAUUAAAAUUAAUAGCAUAUCUUCCAUUGAUUCAUAUCUAAUUGUUUCAAUUGAACAAAAUUCUCUAUUAUCUUAAUUAACCCAAAACUUCAAUGUAAAACCUUAAUUGAUCUUAUUAAACCAAAUUGAAGUUAUUUAUAGCAGUAAUUACUUUAAUUGAUACCUAACUCCAACCUUUCAUAUCUAAUUGCUUCAAUUGGACAAAAUUCUCAAUCAUAUCAAUUACUUCUAAAUUCAAUGUAAAAUCAUAAUUGUCUAAUUUAUACCUAAUUGAUGUUAUUUAUAUCAUCAAUUACUUCAAUUGAUACCCUAUUGCAUUGAUUCAUUCCUACUUGUUUCAAUUGAUAAAAUCCUCAAUUAUGACAAUUAGUCCUAACAUUCAAUCUGGAGCUCUAAUUGAUAUAAUUUAUACCUAUUUCAGGUGAUUCAUAACAUCAAUUGCAUCAAUUCAAACCCAAUUGAUCUCAAUUAAACUAAAUCCUUAUAUAACAAAAUCAACCCAAAAAAUAAUCAAUUAAAUCCUAGCAUAAUCACAAAAUAACAACUAAACACAUAAAAUUAAGAGUAAAAUAAUGUUUACCUUGAUUUGUUGAAGGAGAAAUGGUGGAAGUGGUGGCGAACUUGUGGUAAUGAAGGUGAAAGAGAGAGAGGGAUGAUGAUUUUGGUGGAAAAAAAACACAGAAGGCAAGAAGAUGAAAAGAUGAUGAGAUGCAAAAAAGAGAAAUAAAAGGAAAUAGGCAAGAAGAUGAAGAGAUGCAAAAAAGAGAAAUAAAGGGAAAUGGUUGUUAUUGGCUACAAAAGGGAGGGGAAAUCAUUGGUGGCUCAGAGAGAGGGAGAGUAUUUUGCAGAAGAGACGGAAGAGAAAAAGGAAAAAAAAAUAUACAUGGUUUUUAUUGUUUUGGGUUGCACAAUUCUGAAUAACACAACCCAAUUUGAUUGUUCUAUUAGGAACAAUGCAACCAAUUAAGUGUGUUAUUUUUCAAAAUAAAAAUAAACAAUAACACUCUAUCAAUUGGUAUCAGAGCGUGGUUAUAUUCUUGGCAGAACGACGAGACUGUUAUGUGGACAGCAGAUCGAAGGAUUGAUUUGUUGAAGCUAUCGUGUGGAUAGUUUGCGAUGUUGGUGGCUGAACUUGCAUGCCUAGAACUAUGGAGGCAAUCCGAGAAAGAUUGGCUCAACUUGAAGAGUUGAUAGGGCGAAUUCCAGAGGAUGAAGAACAACGCUCUAUCAAUGACAGGUUGAGGGAAGCCAUUGAAAGUGAUCAAUGGGCUGAAAGCUUGUACAUUAGUCUUGUGGCAGAAACGAGUGAAAGGUUGGAAGCUGCGGAGGAAGCAAUUGCAAUUUUGAAAAAGGCUGUGGCAAACACUUCUGUUGGGACAGGUAUGUUUAAGCCCAAGAUUCCAGAACCGAAAGCAUUUGGGGGUGCUAGAAGUUCUAAGGAAUUAGAGAAUUUCUUAUGGGAUAUGGAACACUAUUUCAGUGCUGCCAAGGUCGGGUUGGAUGAACAAGUGAACAUCGCUGUGAUGUAUCUCACGGGAGAUGCAAAAUUGUGGUGGUGAACAAGAUCCAAGGAGGACUUAAAUGCUGGUAGGCCAAAAGUGGAGACAUGGGAGACCCUGAAACGCGAGUUGAAAGAGCAAUUUCUGCCCAACAACACGUCCUGGAUUGCGAGGGAGGACUUGAAAAAGUUACGGCAAGAUGGGUCGGUAAGGGAUUACGUGAAGAUAUUGAUAAUAUGUCUGAGGAGGACAUAACGUUCAAUUUUCUGUCAGGACUUCAGCCGUGGGCACAAUUGGAGUUGCGUAGGCAGAAAGUUUCAGACUUAUCUUCGGCCAUUGCUGCUGCCGAUGGGUUGGCAGAUUUUAGAGCAGGCGCUAGUGAAGGGACUGCUGGAGCAUCUUCUGUUUCAUACCCACUGAUGGAUAGGUAUGAAAUGAAAAGAAGAAAAAAGGGCUUGGUGGGGGAGAACCUAAACAAACUGAUGGCAAUGGGAAGUCAGAAGCCAAGGGCAAGGAAAAGGUUUCGAGAUCAAGUUCGAGUUGUUUUAUUUACGAGGGUAAGCACUUUGCAAGAGACUGCCCGCUGAAAGCAUAACUUAGUGCCAUUUCUGUGGAGAAGGAUGGGGAAGCAACGACAUACAUAAAUCCUAUACGUGUGCUUAACACUAAGUAAAAGAGUUAGUGGCAAGGGGCCAACCUAGUCGAUGAGGAUUUGGGCGUGCCCAAACUGCCUUGGGCAAGGCAGAAUUGGAGGAGUUUCGUAACUUUGACGAUGGACAGAUCAUGGUUUGUUAGAGCUCUAGGCGUGAGGAUGCGCCAACGAAAGCAUACUGCCAAGAAUUCGGCAGCGAUGGACAGCGGCAGCCUUGCUUAGGCUGAGGCAAAUUCGGUAGGAAGAGUUGAUUGCUGUACAAUGAACAAGUAAGCAAUAUUUAAAUUUUAUACUUGCAGUUUUGGGCACGCUGAAUGGUUGGAGAAUUAAAUGUUCGUAUAGGAGCUCAUGUGAUUCUUCAAAGUGAUUUUGCGUGGAUGUAUUUUGUGAAGAGGGAUGGAUACCUAGGAUGCUUGUGAUUAGUGUCCGAACUUCAUGAAAACAUGCUUGCGAGUAUGAUAUGUUUGGCAUUUGUGGAAAACUAACGGGCCAAAACAGAAUUGUGUCACAACUUGGUUUUGAAACAGGUUGACAAAGAUUCGGUGGACUGAAUUAUUGUUGAAUGUGGGCAAAGCUAAAGGUUUCGUGGGGAGAAACAUGGAUUGUGACGAGGAACAAAUGCAGUGUAAGGGUACUUCAAAUCUGUUCGACGAGGGCGUCCGGUUCUUUUGGUGGAGGUGGUUUGUAACAGUGUCAAAUAUGCACGAGGUGCACACUUCAACAGGCUGUCCAAAAAGCGUGUUGGCAGCCAUGCCAACAGGGGAAUAAAUUAGCAGUGUAGAUUUGUGCAACUGUAGGUUCGUCAAAGGAGAAUUCGGCAGUGAUGGACAGCGGCAGCCUUGCAUAGGCAGAGAUGAAUUCGGCAGGCAGUGUGUGAUGGUCUGUGCGAGUCUUUGAGCUUGCGACUUGGCAUGGACGUGGAGGUUUAGAUCAUGGAUCUUCUAAGUCAGCAGCUGACUCAGCAGAAACUGGCAGUUGGGACUGCCAGGUGGACAACCAGAACGUGGGUGAAGUGGCAGUAUCAUGGGGGUAGAAUGUGGAAGCAUAACUGGGGUGCUCUCCAACCUGCUGAGAUCAUGGGAUCAUGGGAGAGUAACUGCCCCAUCACUUGCUGGAAAAUAGGCCACUAAGAUCAUGGGGGAGAAAGUGACCCACUAUUUAGAAAAAGUUAUUUUGAAAGAAAAGUCUUCAAAAGAGGUGCAUGUAUUUUUUUUUUAUCAUUUUAUGUAAGAACGGUGGCCCAUGUGUUUUGUUUUAACUAUUUCUAUAAUAACAGUGGCCUAAAUGCACACAUUUAUGGAAACUUUAACAAUUUAUAGGUAGGUUGUAGUAUUAACACUUUUAUUUGCAAAUUCUUUUGGUUAAUCCUAUAUUUCAUUGUUUAAUCUAAUCUUCUAAAAAUUACAUAUUUCAAGAUUUUACUCCUACAAUUAUUUAUUUUAUCUUAUUUUUACUAGGAAAAAACUCAAUAGGAAGAACUAAUUUUGGCAUGGCAUACUUCUAUUCGAACUAAGGUUUGAAACCAAACUUCUCCUCGGGAUAAUAGAUGAGGAGAUUCAGGUGAGAUCCAAUGUAGAUCCAAUGUUUUAUUCACUCAUGAGAUUCAGGCAGUCAAGGGGGGGCACCAUGGCUCCUCUCUUCUCGAGAAUCCAUACAUUCCUUAUCAAUGUAUAGAUACCUAUCUCUCGAGCACAUAUUUAGGUUCAGCCUUAAUGAGAAAAUGAAAUGGAACACCUAACUACGUAACUUUAAAAACCAAGAACUACAAGAUCACCUUUUUCAUUCUAGGGUGAUGGAGGGAUUGUACUAUUUAAGCCUUUUUUUCAUGCUUUUCCUGGAUGUCUAGAGAAAGCUACAAUUAAUAGGAUUUUCCUAACUCUUUUUUUUUAGAAAGGAAGAACAUGAAAUUAUUUUUCAUUUCCAAAAGGACAAGGAGAUUGGAUCUAGUUGGAAAUUAAUUGAAUGAACAGUUAAAAAAAGAUUUUUUUUUGUAGUAUUGUAAUUUUUAGUUUCUUACCAUGUCAGUUUUCAACUCUUGAUUAUUGAGAUUUAUAGGAAAUAUGAAUUAACAUAUAAGGAUAUAUAUUCCUAUUAUCUAUUUAAUUUAUUCCUAUUAUAUUUAAUUAAAAUAUUACAUUUAAUACAUUUAUAUUUUUAUAAUACAUUUAAUUUAUAUAAUAUAUUUAUAUAUUUAAGUUUUUAUUCCAUUUUUAUUUGAAUAGAAUUCAAAUUAUUUUCAUUUAAAAUUUAUUUAAAAAUGGAACUUAUAAUUUCUUAGAACUUAUUAUUCUAAAUUCACUUCAUUUUCAAUUUGGCCUUGCUCUAACUUCUUUAGGGAUUAUUACUUCUUUAGUAGCUCACCAUAUGAAUUCGUUACCUCCUUAUGCAUUCAUUGUAUAAGACUUUACUACUCAAACUGCAUUAUAUUCUCAUCACCGUAAUAUAUCAGGAUUCAUUAUUACAGAAGUUUUUGCUUGUGGAGUUAUAUUUUUUAUUAGAGAUUACAUUCCAUAACAAAUGAGGAUAUUAUAUUGGCAUGAAUGCUAGAUGAUAAAGAUGCUAUCAUAUCCUAUUUAAGUUAGGCAAGCCUUUUUUUGGGAUUUCAAACUAUGGUACUUAAUAUUCAUAAUGAUGAACUUCUAUGUAGUGUCUUCAUUUCAUGCUUUCAUAGAAAACCUCAAAAUAACGCCAUUUCAAUAUAGUCCAUCCAUAUCCCAAUUCCAUUCAUUUAAUAUCUCUUUUCUUUGGUGUCAUUGACAUAAUAUAUGUGUCUAUUAUCUUUAUUAACAAUAAAUAAUAAUGAAAGGACUUAUUUUUUUUGGAAGAAAAUAUAUCAAACUAGUGGUAAUAUUAUAACAAAAGCUAAAUGGUGUGGGGAAAUCACUGUAGAUCAAGAGAUCUUUUACUGUAGAUUGUAAUAGUAGUUUCACUUUCACUUUCUCAUGUUUUCAUGAAAUCUUUGGCUUUCGUUUUCUUCCCAAGCGAAAGGGUUGUGCUCGCGCCAUUAAGGAGGCAUUGUGACGUUUCCUAAUGGCCAAAUCUGAUCAUCUGCCGUUUCACUGGAUGCACAAUCAUGCCCUCUUUCACAUGGUGUGACGUGUGUAGACAGAUAAUAGUUGUUAGACUCACGCACCUUGGGUCUUGCAUGGUUUGCCAGAUCGAAGGCGCUUGGGUCUAGACCCAAGUGCCUGGGCCUGGUAACCAUGCCAGACCCGCGCGCUUGGGUCUGCCAACCAUACCAGACCCAGGCAUCAGGGUUAAGAAAUUUAAAAUUUUUCAAAAUCAUGAUUGGACUACAAGAACAAACACUACCUUAUUCAAGCAGGAUUUUCAUUCAUAUUCGAAGAGGAAAGAAUGGAAAAAAAAUGUUGAAUUCUAAGUAAUUUAUUUCAAGUCUUCAAAAAUAAACUUUUUUUUUUGUAUGCAUUGUGGAUGAAAAUAUUAAUUUUAUGUUUCCAUCCAAAUGUUGGAUAGUUUUUUUAAAGGAUUCAAGCUGUUUUAAAUUUGAGAUUUUAUUGCAUGAUCUAAUUGUCAAAGUUUGUUAUAAGAAGAGUUUAUUCUACAUUAUAACUAUUAGUAUAUACAAAAUUUUUUGAACUUUUGAAUUGAUACAUUAUAUUGUAGGAAAAAAAAAUUGUAUAUGUAAAAGAUUUAUUAUCCUUUUGACUUCGUAAUUUGUGCAAGUUUGUAGAUGAUUUCUUCACUAAAAUUAGAGAUUAAUAAAAAAAACAAUUAACUGAAUUUUAGGGAUGCAUGUGACAACAAUGUCAAACCCAAGGUACAUGGAUUUGGAAACCAUGCCAGACCCAACCCAAACGCCUUGGGUCUGGCAAUCACGCUAGGCCUAAGCGCCUUGGGUUUGACAACCAUGCCACCAAAAGCACCUUGAGUUUAGCAACCAUGCCAAGCCCACACUACUUGGAUCUGACAACCAUGUUUGGGUCUGACAUUCAUAAAAAAGUGUAUGGACCUGACAUGGUUGCAAGGCCUAUACAUUUGGCUCAAAAAUAAAAUUAAAAAUUAUUAAAAAAUAAUAGUGUAAAAACGAACAUAAAUCUAUAUUUUGAAAUUUUAAGGAUCAAUUAAUUGAUUUUAUUGAACUAGAGAAGAAUGGAAUAAAUUAUAAUUAACGCUCUCAAGCUCACUUUUUAAUGUUUAAGCAUAAUUAUUAGAUUUGGCUCGGCAUGACGGGUCAACCCGGGACUCAGGUGACCUAGCAGAACCCGGUAGGGACUUGUUUUCUUCAAAUAUGUUUUUUCCCUAGCCAAAGACUCCUAUUUUUUUCAUCUUUUUCAAUUGGUUGCUAACUCAUAUCAAAGUUCACUAUAUAAAUACUAGAAGAAUAUUUUAUUUUUUUAAUAUGAGAUUUGAAGCGUUGUAAUAUAUAUAUAUAUAUAUACUCUAUAUUCACAGGAAAAAAAUAUGUUUUUUCAAUGUGGAAUAAAUGUUUUCCCCUAGCUAGAGACCUCCUUUUUCAUCCUUUUCAGUUGGUUACUAACUCAUAUCAAAGUUCACUAUAUAAAUACUAGAAGAAUAUUUUAUUUUUUCAAUAUGAGAUUUGAAGCGUAGUAAUAUAUAUAUACUCUAUGUUCACAGGAAAAAAAUAUGUUCUUUCAAUGUGAAAUAAAAAACCUUUUUGGUUUAAAUACUUCAACUUAAUAGGAUAAAAUAAUAUCUUUUUAAUGUGGGAUAAAAAAUAUUUUGAAAUAGUGUUUUAGCUUUAUAACCACAUGAAUUGUUUCUUAUUUUUUUCAUAUGAAAUAAUAAAAUCUAAUUUUUUUUAAAUUUUCCUGAGUUGACCAACGCCAGGCCAGGACCAAAAAAAUAUCAGACCCGCGCCUGGACAUGGACACCAUGCCAGGUCCAAGCAUCUGGGGUCUGGUAACGACGUUCGACCCACGCUACUUGGGUUUGACAACCAUUCCAGACCCAAGAGCCUUUAGUCUGGUAACGAUGUUUGGUGCCAGACCUAGGCGCGAGCUGGAAUGGUUGUAGACCCAGGCGCUUGGGUCUUGUAUGAUUGCCAGACCCAAGGUGUUUGGGUCUGGCAACCUUGUGCAAGUGGACUUUGGACCAAGACACAAUCUACUAUAGACUUGUACAAUGGAUUUUCCAAGCUCUUAAGGCUUGGGAUGAGGCUAAUGUUGUCUUUUCACAAAAAAGGUUAAAUUAUCAUUUGCCAAUUUGGUUGAAAAAAUUGAAGCCCUGGGUUGUAGGGAUAUUUCAUUAUUUUUCACAGGCUCAUUGGUCAUUAAACGUGUCAAUGGAGGUAUGGUAGUCUUUUUCAUGAUUAUUUGCGUAGUAAUAAUACUAUUCUAACCUCAAAGUUAACAAAAUUAAGACAUGUUGGUCAGAGAUUUUUUUAUCUUUCACAAAUUGUUAAAUAAUUAAAAUAUAUCUUUAGCCUUAGAAAAAAAAAAAAGCUUUGCAUAUGGGGAUAUUUUUGUUCUUUCAUACUAUUUUUUGUGCAAUUUUUUAUAAUCAUGGGAGAUAUUUUGAUAUUGUUUUAUUAUUUUUAAAUUCCAAAAAUUGUGCUAGUGACACCCUUUAUUUUAUCAUCACAUCUUAUUAAUGAUUGCCAUCAUUCAUGAAAAAUAAUCUAUGACCAACUCUCUCAUAUCUGUCCUAAAUAAUUUGAUGUGCUUGACGUUGCUAUCUUUUUGCUUUACCUAUUCCUUUAUAGCUCUUUUUCACCGAGUCCUAAAUAUCUUUGAAGGUUUUGUUACAAAAAAUGGUUUUAAAGUUUGAACAAUCAAUCGAUUGGAAAGAUAAUUUUUUGCUUGAUAUCUUUUAAUCGUUGCCCUUUUAUUUUUAUUUUUUGUACAUUUGUUACUAUUGUUCUAAAUGGUGGUUCAAUUAUUUAUUAAAAAAUAAUAUACUAGUACUUCUUAGACCUUAGGAAAUUCUCCAUUAACAUGCAUAAAUACAAUCAAAGCAUGGAAUGACCGGUAGAACAAAGUUAUCGAAAGCCAAGUUUGAACAUUGCUGCUG